GAAUCAAUAAAAGGGUGGUGGAGGAGGAGAUGCAUACGAGACUCCGAUGACGGGUGGCAAAGGCCCUUCAUAUACAGGUGCAGGUGGUGGAGAUGACGGUGGUGGCGGUGAAUUGUAAUGAUAAACAGGUGUUGGAGGUGGCGGUGAUGGUGGUGGUGGUGAAUUAUAUUGAAUUGGGGGAGGUGGUGGUGAUGGUGAUGGUGGCGGAUGGUAAGGUGCAGAGUGUGGUGAUGGUGGUGGUGGUGAAUGCUCUUCACAAGGUGGUGGAGGUGGUGGCGGAGGAGGUGACUCUAUACAAGGUGGUGGAGAUGGGGGUGGCGGUGGUGGUGAAUAAACUGGUGGGGGAGGAGAGUGAACUGGAGGAGGUGGUGGCGGUGAUAAAUAGGGAUAAACUGGUGGUGGUGGUGGUGGUGAAUGUGGUGGUGGCGGUGGCGAAUGAGGUGGAGGUGGCGGUGGAGAGGCGGCGAAUACACUGGUGGUGGAGGUGGUGGCGAAUACACCGGCGGUGGGGGUGGUGGAGGGGAAUGAGGAAUGUAAACAGGCGACGGCGGAGGCGGCGAUGGCAAUGGUGGUGAGGGAGGAGGAGGAGGAGGCAAUGAAGGCACAAAAGGCUUACACCUAAACGAAUUACAAUCGACAGGGUGCGACAAAAACGACUUACAUUGCCCAGCGGAGCGCUGGGCAGGCCUGGCCGGAAGGCAGUUGCGGCGGUCAUCAAACGCCGGCAAAGCGAGACAUCUUGGCGGCUCGCCAGUGAAGAAGUUAUAAGAGUAAGUAAAGUUCUGCAGAUUCGGAAGCUUACAAAUGCUCUCUGGAAUCUUCCCCGAAAGUAAGUUAUGCGCCACAUUCAACUGCUCCAAACUCACCGCACCACCAAUAGCAUCAGGCAAAGGCCCCAGCAACUGGUUGAAGCUCACAUCGAACACCGUCAAGUUCUGCAGCAACCCUAUCUCCGCAGGGAAGCACGACUUGAACGCGUUGUUCAUCAAAAUAAUCUCGUUCAGCCCCUUCAUCUUGCCGAUUCCCGCCGGCACGCAUCCGUGGAAGCGGUUGUUCGCCAGCACAAUCACCGACACCGGCGAGUUUCCGAAAUUUUCCGGUAAGUCGAAGACGAAGCGGUUGUCAUUGAUGAAAAUCGCGUCCAGGUCCUUGUCGAAGAGCUCCUUGGGAACCGUACCUUCGAAUUCGUUGAAUCUCAGAUCUAGAAACUUGAGCAGCGGCAAGCGCAGCACCACGUCGGGGAACUUCCCGGCGAAGCGGUUGUUGCUGAGAUCUAACUCGAAGAGGAGUUCAGCCGGUCGAACUUGUGCGGCAAAGUGCCGCAGAAGCGGUUAGUGUUGAUGUGGAGAAGAGCGAGGUCAGUGAGUAAACUUAGCUCCUCCGGGAGGUAUCCGGCAAUGUCGCCGUGGUUGAGGUCGAUUCCGGCGACGGUGCGGAUCUUAUGGUUGUCCGGCGCCGGAGCGCAGAAAACGUAGGAGUAGUUGCAGACAUUGGGUCCCACCCAGUCCUGCGUGAGGUUCUUGGGAUCGGAGAGAAUGGCUUCCUUCCACGCCUGUAACGCUAUAUAAGCGUUUCUCAAACGGUCGUUUUCGAAGACGAAGGAGGGAUCGAGGGUUACCUUUUCACCUCUGUCACCGAAGUAGUCCUUGUAAUACAGAAGCUGACGCUGCUUGAUGAAAGACACUUGGGAGUCUGUGAGAGGUCCAUUGUGCGAGAAUGCGGAGGCACAGAGAGAGUGUGAAACUAGAAUGAGCAAGAGAGGAAGAAAAAAGAGAGACAAGUCGGAGUAGGUUUUCUUCCUCAUCUCACAUGAGGCAUCUGAGGAAACCAAACGCCUCAACACACAAAGACUUUAAAAGUGUGCUUUAAGAGAAAGUUGAUUUCCUUGGACGUUGCUAUAGAUCUGAGAAGAAUGGCUGCAAUGUGCAAUGUGCAAUGUGCAAUGUGCAAUGUGAGAGAGAGAGAGGGAUUUUGGAAGUGUGUGUGAGGCGUGAAGGAGCGUAUAUGAGUGUGAGAAGAGAGAGAGAGUGGGGAUGAAAUAAUGCAUCAAAAGGACAGCUAAAUCACAGCUCAAAGCCCACCAGAUUCUCUAUCUCUUGGUUACUCGCUUUCUUUUUUAAAUUUACUUUUUUUCUGGCUUCGUUACUCGAGACAAAAAAGGAACACUAUUUAGACUAUUACUAGUAUUUUCUUCUCGCUCCUUGCAAGACGCUAGCUAAUUGUUUUUUAAACUUAGUUGGCACUCACUCCUUCACGCUUUGAAUAAAGUCAAGUUGUUUACGCGGAGAGAUGGAUAUGAGCUGAGUAUGAGAGAGAGACUCGACAUUUCCCACCAAACAUACACUUAAAUCCAUAAUUAGUUCAGUUUCUUUAAGGAAAAAGAUUAAAGUGCAAAAAUAACUAAUCAAAAUAUUAGUGAUACAUACUUUCUGGAUAUUCUUUUUUUUUUAAUUUAUUAAAUUCAUUAAAAAAAUAAAUUAAAUAUGUGAUUUACACUUUAUAUUUAAUGAAUAUUUAUACUUUUUAAUAGAAUUAGUCAAAAAUGAUGAAAAUAAUACAUUAUUACAUAAUUUAAAGACUAUUAAUUUUACUUAAUAAUAAAAUAAGUAAAAAAUGAUAAAAAAUAAAUAAAUAAAUAUUACAUAACCCAAUACUAAUAUAAUCUCAAUCAAUUUUCUACCAAACAUAUAAUUUAGUACCAGAAAAAAAAAUCAUACACUAAUGUAGAAUUUUUUACUUAAAUAUUCAAUCACAAAUUAUUAUUAUGUAACUUUUAAAAUAAUUUAAAAUAUGAUUUAUAAUUAGAUGAUAUAGUAAAUUAUUUUAUGUUUAGCGUCAAUAUUAUUAAUUAUUCUAAAAAUUGAAAAUUAAUAAUUUGUAACAUAAAAGUUAACUGAAAUGAUAAAGAUAUUGUUUAGAACACUAAUGUGGUUUUCCUAAUGAUUGUUUCCGUUAUUAUUAUAAGGAGUAGUUGUAUCCUUCAAGUUAUGACGCGCCUCACUAUUUGACAGAAGAUUUCCGUUGAAAAAUAAAAUUAGAAGCCGUUAGCACUUAGCAGAUGAUAGUGGAAUUUGGAAGCGGCACAAAUUAAUUUAAUUGUCGAAUUUUUGCUGAUUGAUAACCUGGGAAGUGGUUGUCUGUGUCGGUGACCCUUGUCAAAUCAAAGACCUCUAGGCUCUUACAGUAAUUUUAUUUGUAAUAAUAAAAAAUUUAAUAAUAUGGUACUUUGUUCGUAAUUUAGUAUAAAGUCAAUUCUUUGGCAAUAUAAUUUAUAUAAACUUUACUUAUUGAUAGAAAUAGUAUAUAUAAUAAAAAUACGUAUAACUAGGGUUGUUCAUUAAAAAAUGUAUAAAAUUAUGUCACGCACUCGCGCCUCUUGGACUUUUUUUCCAUAUCGCACAUUCCCGUGAUGGCGAUAACUUAUGGACGGCCUUUUUUGCCUUUCUAAUUUAUGGCCUUUUCUGGUUAACAGAAUCCACCGAUAUUUAUUUAUUUUUUAUUUUCUUUCAGGAUAAUAAUUAGAAAUAGUUAAUCUUCCAUGCUAUGAUUCCGAAGGUGUAUCUUAAUAUCAUACUCUCUGCAAAAAUUUACUGUUUUUAUCCCAUUAAGCUUGUGGUUUUUUCUUUCAUUUUGUUGUGUAAUUUAUUUUAAUUUUUUGUGAAAUUUAGGUAUAGAAUUUAAUAUUAGAAAAUAAAUUUUAUAAUAAUUACAAAGAUGUUUUUUAAUUAUAGGAAUUAAAACAAAUAUCACACAUUUUAUUCCAUCAAUUAAGUUAAACUUCCUUAAUAUACUAAUUAUAAAAAAAUACAUAUUUAUAAUAAUUUUAAAUUAUUUGAUAGUAUAAAUUUUCUUACACUUAUAUAAUUUAUUUUCAUACAGUAUAUCUUUUGUUUAUGUUUUUGAGUGUCUUGGUAACAUCUUGUUGCCUUGACACUUCUCUCUUAAUGGAAUUCAUUUUGACUUUUAAAAAAAAUAAUUUAUUUUCAAUCCAUUUGUUUUGAAUACUUGGAUAUUUAUUUAUUUUUUCCAUAAAUAUUGACGGACUAAGUUGUAAAGUAUUUUUCAACUUUAAUUAUAUUUGUUUAAAAAUGUAUAUUGCAAAAUUAACAAUUAAUAGACAUUUUACAAUAUUUUACCCGUUAGAGUAUUAUGAGCUUAUAGCAAUAUUACAUAUUUAUUUUGUUUCAUAAGAAUACUGAACCUUACGAUAACUUUCAUUACAUGAUUCCUUAAAAAAACCUUCAUUACAUAAUGGCUUAUAACAACUUGGUCACAUAAAAGAUUUUAACUGCUUACGCCAGACUCCGGAGAUUCAAAUGAUCAAUUUUUUUUUAUUCACUCAAAAUGAUCAAUAUGUGACUGUGAGCAUGUGAUCUGUUAUGAAACAUAAUUUGUAAGGGUAAUAUCCAUGUAUGAUUUGUGAUUUCCUAACAUUAACAAUGCUAUUUACUGGUAAAGAUUAUUUUAACGAGGUAACCUAAAAGACGAAAAUAUUCUAACUGUAUAUUUUAUAUGAUUUAAUUUAUAUAUACACCUUAUUUUCUUUAAAAAAAAAUAUUAUUCAUUCACUUUGUCCAAUUAUCCUCUUGUGUAGACUAUUAUUAUUAGCUCAUUUUUUACCCCAAACAAAAGAAGUAAAUGAGUAAAGAGAAAAUAACUAUUUCAAGGGAAAAAAAUGUUUAUAGACACAAAAAACACACACACACAUUUGUAUAUCUUUAACUAAACCAGUUUUCAUACCUAUUAAAAUUUUCCUUAAAAAUCCUAUAAAAAAAAUCCUUAAAAAUGAAAACAAAAAAUAUUCCUCACUAUCUUAUCCUUCUAAUUUAUGUCUUGUUUUAUUGCAACAAAACACGAAAACAAUACAAUGCAAUGUAUCUUUCAUUCUCUUGUAAAGAAUACAUCGUUUUAAUACAAAUAAUCAUCACAUAUUCAAGUGUUUGUAACUCGAAAACGCGUUUUGAUCAUAAAAAGUUAGCAACAACUGGUGGAAAUUACUUAAUCGAAACGGCAAUGUUUAUUUGAUAUAAUUUUUAGACAUAUUUCUGAUAUCUAGAAAUUCAUUACAUCUAUCUAAACGGUACUACCUAAUUGACCUGUUUUGUUUUUUUGUGUAUAAUCUUUGUCUCCAUGCAUUUUCAACUAUAAUUGUGUUUACGAGUUGGAUUGGUGUUUUUUUUUUAAGAGAAGAGUUGGAUUGGUUGGAAUUUAAGAUAAAAUAAAAUUUAAAUAGAUCAAACUUAGUUAAAUUAGUUUAAUUUAAAUUAAGUAUAACUCAAUUAAUAAUAUAUGUUAAGUUUGUAGGAAAUAACAUGAAUUUGAUCUCAUAUAAUAUGUAUUAUUGGGAGGGAGCAUAAAUUUUAAAUAUGACUAAAUCUCAAUUGAAGAUUAGUUUCCUAGUUAUUGGAUCAAUUUUUUUUUAGAUAACUUGAAGUAAUACUAAAGAUAACAAAAUGGAUGAUCUGAUCCACCCGAUUACACAUUAAAAAUGGAUCAAUUCAAGCCCGACCCAUAUUCUUUCUGGUUGAAAAUUUUUAGACCCAACUUAUUUGUAUGUUAGGCUGAUGGAUCACUGGGCCUAUUCGGACCAAUUUACAAAUUAAUAUAAAAAAAUAAAAAAAAAUUGAUUUUAUGUAAAAAAAACCAAAGACCAAAAAUUAUUUAUUACACAUUUAUUUUGCCUAACAGUAUUGAUAAAACCAUUUAAAUUACAUUUAAGGAAUACUCAUAUUAAUAAUAUUACAUUUGGAUUGUUACUUCUAGUGGAUACUUAAUUUUAUGUUAAAUGAAUAUGUCUUGUCUUUAAAAAAAUUAUAAAUUGUAAUUUAAAAUUAUAAAUUACAUUAAGAAAUAAUUAUAUUUUAUUUAAUAUUUAUUAUAUAUUACUAAUCGAGUCAACUUGACCCGAGUUCACUUGACCCGUCAGGUUAAAAGGAUCACACCAAGAAAGAUUUGUUUAUAUUUAAACUAAUAUUUCUUUUAGCUCAAUUUAACUCUAAUUACUUGUUGACUCAUCAUGCCAAGUCCAUUUAACUAAUCCUAGACACCACUAGGAAACCUGAAACUUAAUUAUCAUGAUAUCAAAUAAAAAAAGGUUAAAUUAAUUUUUUAUCAUCUAAUUUAUUAUUUAGGUUUAAUUUGAUUUAUUAAAUUUUUUGAGUAUCAAUUUGGUCUUCUAAUUUUUAAAAAUAAUUUAAUUUGAUUUUAUCGUCUAAAUUAAAUUGAAGGGAUUAAGAAAUUAUAAUUUAUGACAGUUUAAAAUUGUCACUAAGUAAUUUUACCGGAUCAAAUUAAAUCUAAAAAAUAAAUUUAAGAAAAAAACCUUAAUUUAACAACAAAAAAAAAAAGGAUACAAUACAUAUUUAUUCACUUUAUCAUGAACGAACAUUCCAUGCAUCGUGGCCUCACCAAGGCAGGCGGCCAUGCAUUAACAAACUCACUGAGAUCACCAUUUUUGUACUCUUCCUCUCUCAUGCGCAUCAGUACUAGAAAUUUCAUCUUUUCACCUUGCCAUUAUUAGCACAUAUGUAACAUCGAUCACUACCGCAUGCAGUGUGUAGGUUGUCCCUUUUUUCCCUGUGUUGUUCAUGUAACUUUGCAGUAGUUUCACUUUCACAUGAAGAAUUAAUAGAGUGAAACUGUUGAAUCAUCAGUUUUCACUAGUUUAGCACCGGUUUGACUAGUUUUAGUCUAGUUCCUUAGAAAGACAGAUUGUGAAAACUUUGAUGCAAAUUGUAUCUAUAGAUUGCCUAAACUUAAUUGAAGGAAUUACGCGCCAGGAACAAGAGAAAUUAAACAGCACUUAAGUUCCAAUCAUACCAAUACAAGUUUAAUAUUUAAUCCAAUCAAAAUUGGCAAAUAGAUUCAAAAUAUCCCAACCGACCAUUAAGUCAUUUUUUUUAAUGACGGAACUAAAAAUAAGAGCCGCGAGGGAAUCCAACAGAAUAAAACUCAGUUUGAAUGAAUCUCUUCGAAAAGAUUUUGAAUUUGAAUCUUCUAAAUAGAAAUAAAUAAUUAUAAAAAGAAAUCAUAUUAAAAUUGAUCAACUAAAUUUCAUUAUAAAAAUUAAUAAAUAUUUUAUACCAAUAAUAUAAUUAUAAAAAUAUCCUAACCGGGUCCAUAUAUCUAUGAAAUAGGCCACCAUAACUAUGUCAAAUGUCCAAAGUACCAAAGCUUAGGGGUAACGGCAGUUAGACUCUCAUAUCACAAUAUUGUUAUUAAGUAGUUUCUUCUUCUUCUUCUUCUUUUAUGUGUUUGAAGAAGAAGGAGGCUUGAGAGUUCUAUUUCUGAGUUUAGCUUGCAACCACAGACAUUCCCAUGUUACGCAUCCGUAUUAGCAUUGAUGCGGCUGAGGAAGUGGAUCCCGCAAAACACGAGAGAUAGAGAAAGCUCACAUCCUAAUUGGGCCCCACGUGUCACGUCUUUCCCGCCUGGAUCGUCGGCGAUCGUCGCAUCUUUCCCUUCCUCAAAAUUUCACCAUUUUCAAAAUAUUCAAUAACUCUUGAUGCCAUUUUUCAUAUUAAAGUUUAAGGCUAGUUUUUCCCCUUAUAAUUUUCUUCUUUUUGAUCUAUUCAAAUUAUUGUGCGUUUAAUAGAUGAAUGGUAAAAAAAUUAUAACUAGGUAUAUUUUUUAUUAAUAAAUAAAUAAUAUUUAUAGACUAUAUAAAAAAUUAUAUUCUAUCCUUUAAUUACAAGUAACCAUGUAUAAUACAUUUAUUUAUUUUUAAAGUAAUUAUUUUGAGAAAUAUUAGUUAAACUCUCAAAAAAUUAUGUCAUGUGUAAAAUAUCUAUUUUCAGCAAAAUAUCAGUUUUUUAUUUUUUAUUUAUUUUAUUUGAAUUCUUUCACUUGUAUUUUGUAAAAUUAAUUAAAUAAAUCUGCCUAGUCACACAUACCAAAAACAAAAAGAGCACUUAAACUGAAUUUGAUGUUAUGUCAUUCCAAAUAACGACAAUAUUUUAAGUUGUGUAUUAAAUUUAAUUAUAAUUUUUAAAGUAAUAUACCUAUUGUACUUGCUUGAUGGAAAAAUAUACAGUAGACAACUAACUGUCUGAAAGGAGUGGGGGCGUUCUCUACAAGGCAACCACGUGUGAUUUGUGUCCACUUGGGGAAUCAUAAACUGGACUAGUGCAGGUUCUAUUUGGGAAUCAACUCAUUACUGUUUUUUUAAAAAAAAUAAAAUUGUUACACUCUUUUAAAAAAUUCUAAUUGCCCAUACAUACAUAAUCCGAUAUACGUAUGAAACGAUUUAAGCAGUAAAACCAUUAUUUACUUUUACGUUCUACAACUUCUAACAAGCUAAAUGAAUAUUUGUUUGGCCACAUAUUGUUCCAAUACAUGUAUUUCUUGAUAUUAUAUUAAAUCUUUUCAUCAAUAAAAAAUGGCAUAUGAAUGCAUUAAAUAAUAUAAACCAAGGUGGAGAUCAUGCAUAUCAUAGCGUCUUUAAUUUCGACAUUUGUCCCAAGGGGAAAAUGAAGAGUGGUACGUGCACUUUGUACAAGCGUUGUUUCGACCUGUACGGAAAUCAUAUUGUAGGCAUGGGCUACAUCUUUUUGUGUUUGAAUUUUGUAUAUUGAGUGUGAGGGAAAAGAUGAUUGCUUGUUCCUCUGUCCUAAGCAGAACAAUUCUCCUUUCCCAAACCUCUAUCUCCUUGCUCGUACUUCGAUUUGUCCAUGCCAUCUUUCCUGUGUUUACAACUGAAGCCCUAAUCUGACAUAAUUUUAGGCCUUUGGUGUGUGUUUGGAUUUUUGUUUGAAAUUCUUCCUACGAAAGUUUAUGCAUUCCGAAGCAACAAAAAUAAAAGUAAUUUCAUUGUUACUUCUGUGGAAACGUAAGUUACGUUCAAUAAACUUUUCCUUUAGUAGUUUUGGUCUUGUAUUUCUCCUUGCUAUGUGAUCAUUGACUUUAGCCAUAGGUGGGAAAACAAAAACAGAGAGAGGAAACAUAACAUAAGGACACUUGACCAAUAAAGAGAAAUAUUUUGAGAGGAAGGAAACAAAUUAAACAAAGGAAACUCAACCAUAUCAUACAAAACACAUAUAAAUAGAUCAUUUUGUAAAAAAUCACACACAUACAAUUAGAUAAUCUAAAGAAAAGACAUAAAAAAGGAUGCUUCCAGAGCUCGUUGACGUUGCAUUAAUUAAAUACAUUUUGGUUGCAUGAACCGGAUUCUUUACAAUUAGGGUUGGUUUCUUUGAAGUUUGAUAGCUCUAUCGGUGUAUACAUUAAAAAAAAAAAUGUAAAGAUAGUUCAUCAUUAUAAAACUAUAAUUAUGAUUUCUUAUAGAAGGGGUUACUUGAUUAGGCCAGGCAAUAACAAAGUUUAUAAUAUACCAAAAUAAUAAAUAUUUUAUAUCCAUAAAGAUUGAUCUAUGAAUAAGAAUCAAACUCAUAUUUUAGAAGAUAUAAGUUUGAAUGUCAUUGAUUUUUUAACCUUAAAAGACAUAUUUUUAAUCUUUAAGACUUAACUCACCUAAAUUUUUAUGGAUAAAAAUAUAAAAACAACAUAAUACAUUUAUAUUUAUAUAAUAUACAUAGAGAUUAAUUGACAUACAUGUUAGUGUAAAAAAUAUUAUCAAUCAAUCAAUAUUAUUAUAAUUUAAUUGAAUCUUUUAUUAAUUUUUUUAGUAGUUCAUGCAAUAAAAAAAUCAUCAAAUGAUAUAAUAUGUUUUGCUCUUUUUUCAUGUUUAAAUUAUCGAUAUUAUUGAACAGGAGAUUAGUUUAAAUUAAUCCUUUUGGAGCUUUAAAUGUAGGACUGUUCUUAUUUUACAGAAAGGUUUUGAAUUCACAGCCCUCAUAAAGAGAAGAUACGCAAAUAAUCAAGGAACUAUUUCGUUAAGUCGUUCACUUUCUUAAAAUAACUAUUGCUAAAUUAUUAUUUUUCAUCAUACAUUCAGACAUGAAUAAAUAGGAUAAUAACAAGUUGUAUUGGCGGCAAGCAACCACUCCCAUAUUGUAUACAUAAUUAAUGUUUAAAUGCUCACCAAACGAUGUAUCAAGUAAGAAAAAUCAUAUUGGUUGAGAGAUCUCAAUUAUCAAUUAUUAUGUUUCGAUUAGUUAGAUUUUUUUUUUUUGACAGAAGUUAGAAAUUUUAUUGUUAUGACGAUUUUUCUAUUUUAUAUAAUAGGUGUAUAGGCCAAUGAACCAACUUUUUUUUUAUAUAUAAUAAAUAUUUUUUUCCAAUUUUUUUUUAACUUCUUAAUUCAAAUAUGCACCUUUUUUUUUCAUCUAUAUACUUUGUGUAUAAGAUGAAAAAAUCAAUUAUUUGUACAUCCCCCCCGCCCCCCAACAUAUUUAAAACGUGUGGGUAUGAUUAUUUGAUUUAAAUUUUUAAGUAUGAAAACCAGUUAAAUACUUUUACAAGUAAAAGAAAAAACCAUUUAAUUAAACUUUAGUUAGUUUUGUUAGUACUUAAGCUUAAAACCGAAUUUUUGAAUAAAGCUUUUUACUAAAUUUUACAAAAAAAAAGUUAAUUAAAAAACCAUUUAAAUAAAUAAAAAGAGAGUGGAAUGAUAAUAAAAAAAAUGACUCUGAUUUACUAAUAAUAACAAAUUUAAUUGGAAGUUACGAAUGGACUUUGUCUUUAGGAGCAUUGGGCUAAAAAUUCAAAUAACCUAACUGAACUUCUGUGUUUUAAUUUUGAAUUAAAACCUUCAUCUAAGAAUAAAUGAUAUUUUCAUAUAAAUAUUACAUAUUUAGUUAAUACAAUUUAUGAUUAAAAUAAUUUGUAAAACUAAGUUGAUUAAAGUUAUAAAUGAUUAAUAUGAAUAUGAAAUAAUUGAUAUAAGAAAACUAAUGAGAGGGUGGAGUGGAAAGAAUCUUAGGUGGCAGUACUUGCCAGCCGGCAGAGCCAGCUGCAAGACGUUGUGUUUUGAGUCAACACGUGUCAUGCUGUAGACAAUCCACGUGGGGCCAAAAAUCUUAUUCCAUCUUGACUAGGAAAUAUUCAAUACCUGCCAUCUUUAUUUUCAAGCAAUCAUCUUUUUUUAGUGUUUUUAUUUUUAUUUUUAAGAGUCCCAAAAGCAACUUCAACCAAAAAUUUCAAAUUGUAUUUUCUUUAAUAAAAUUAUAAAGCAUUGGAACGUAAAUCAUUAAUGAAGUAAUUGACGUGCAAAUUUGAAGCUAAUAAAGGAAGCUUUUGCGUUAGUGAAAAAACACGUGAUUUUAAAUGCAAUCUGAUCUGACACAGAUCCAAACAUAUACUGUAACUUGUUACAUUUAUUUUAUUUUUUAUAUCAAAUCACAUGUAUUUUUUUCUUAAUUUUUAUGAAAGAUAAUUUUAUUUGAACAUAAUGGUAAUAAAAUAUUUAUUUUUGAAAGUUGAAAAAUUAAUUUAUUAAAAUAUAAAUAUUUGAUAAAAAUUAGUUGUUGAAAUAAUUAAAAAAUAUAAAAUAACUUAAAAAUAAUAAAAUUAUUUUUUAUCUUAAAAAAAUAAACAUAAAAAUUGAUAAUAUGUUAAAAAUAAAAAUGAUAGAAAAUAUAAAAAAUUAGAAAUUAACCUUUUAGAAAAUAUUAUUUAAAGUAAUAUUUUAAAAAUAUUAAAAAUUAUUAAAAAUAUUAAAAAUUAUUAAAAAAAUUAUUUAUCAAACAAUCAAAUGAUUGUUUUCAAUUAAUAAAUAAAGUUAAAAAUUAGUUAAAAUAUCUAACCGAAUAAUGCCUUGCCGAAUUUAGGACUACACAAAUUAUUAUAAUUUUUUUUAUAUUUUUAUUCAAUUUUUACAAAUAAAAAAUGCAUAAUAAACCAAAAGUUACUUUAACAACCCAAUAAAUAAUUUGGUACUCUUUUCGGUGGGAAAGAAAAGAAUUGAACUUGAAAGAAAGAUGAAGAAAACUGUCCACGAUUGAUUAGCUGAGAAUUAUGGACACGAUUAUUUACGGAUAUAGGAUUAUUUACGUAGAUUCUGUUGAACAAAUUCAUUAGAACUAUAUCACUAUUUUAUGAUAUAUCUUAAUUAAACAUAUUCCUAAUGUUAAUUUUGAUAAAUACUUCUUGUUCUGAUCAUAUAUAUAUAUAUAUAUAUAUAUAUAUAUCUCGGUAUAAAAAGUGUAGAAAAUGGCCGAAUUUUUCGAGCAGGAACUUUUGAUAGAGAAGCUUUAAGAUGCAGGACCAUAUUUCCACGUCCAGGUCUUGGAUAAAAGCAAAUUUGUCUACCUUUACUUACUCUUUUGUACAGUGAUAUACAAAUCCGGGAUCUGUUUGAUUGAUAAAUCUAACUUGGGAUAUUGUUGAGGUGAAUUCGAACCUCUGCUGUUGAAGGCUUAUUGCUUGUUACUUACAGUUGUUGCAAUAGCUUGUAUUCGGGAGUAAUAGAUUAAUAUUACCUUAAUUGAAUGACAUAUAGCAUACAUUAUUUCUAAUUUGUGGUUUUGUUAUGCAUCAUUGAUGCAAUAGGUAAGAGGAUAGUAUAGUGUUGCAGAACCAAGUCAGUUCAUCACGUACCGGUUUAGUUGUGUAAGGGUUGGAUACUCUCCUCUUAUCUUUGUCUUCUUUCUUAAUGAAAAUUUUCUUUUGCUGAUAAAAAAAAUUAUCUACACUAGAUCUUCGCCGUUGAAGUGAAUAUCUGAUUCUUCAAUCGACCACUUAUAAUUUUGAGCUAAAUUAGUCUUUGAUCCGGGAUAAUUUUUUUUUUAUAAGGAUUGACAUAAAUUAGCAACAAUAUGAAAUGACCAUUUUAUAUUUUUGUGACUCAAACAUUUCGAUCUCUUAAUCCAGUGAGUAAUAAUUUAUUUUUAAGUUGGAUUUUUUCUUCUUCUUUUCUUUCAUAAUGCAAAGUUGUAAAACUAAUCAUUUUAUUGUCGUAAAAUUUGAUUAAUCAACAUAUAUAAUAUAUUUUUUACCUAUUUACUAAGAGAAUAAUAAUUCUAGUGCAUGGGGAAAUUGAAGGGACGAAGGUUGAUUGUAGGUCCUGAACUUUCUCUUUUAUUUUAUAAAACUAUUCUAAUUAAUUAUAAUUUUUAUAUAACAAUAUUAAUUUUUAUUAUUUUAAUGUUUUUACAUGUUUUAGCAGCAGCCGCUUUUGCUUAAUUUAAAGCAGCAAAAACACUUGCACAAUUCAAAUGUUCAUGUUUCGCAACAAAAAUAAAUAUUCCGAAAAAUAUGACAAAAUUAAUACGUGACUGAUAAAUUUGUUAUUGACAUAAAUUAUUUGUAACGUGGCUCCAAACAAUUCUUGCAAUUAAAUUCAAACAUGUGAAGGUUGUUAAGGUUCGAUUAUUAUUCUUAUCACCAAACUUUUAAGACACCACCAUUUUCUUUUUACCAAUAUUCCGCGUAGUUUAUGGAGUCAUAAAACUAAUAGAUCUUUAUGUUGUCCCUUUUAAUAAUUAUUUUUUUGUUUCUCCUUUAUGAGGGUAGUGGAAAUAAAUGUUUAAUAUACUUGAAGUUGAAAGACGUGAAAUGGGAAUCCAACUAAUCAAAGGAUUAAAAAAAAUCAAUGUAUUAGAUUAUCUUUAUUUAUUUUAACGAGUUUAUAUAGGAUUGAAAUAUAUUUUAACAAGUUUGAAUUUUAGAUAUAUAAUCGGAAAAAGAAUAUUAUUUUUCAUAAUAAAUCUAACUCGAAUUAUGUUUCUUGGAUAGAGGAUACCUUGAUCUGUAAAAAAUAACCGUUUACACUUGAAUACUAAAAUCAAACAUUCUUUUUUUUUUUUCUUGAAAGGAAAUCAAACAUUCUUUGAAAACCUUUGAUGGGUUGAAUGCUUGAUCGCAAUUUAUUAUAUGGUGAUGAUAAGUAAGGUUUGAAAAUGAAUAAAUAUUAAAUAAAGGUCAUUCAACUGAAUUGAGGGUUAAGAAAAAAAAAAUGAAGGAAAAAAACGCGGUGACGCAAAUUACGGAGAAUUUUAAGAAGUCAAGUUGACUCCUCUUACUUUUGUUAUUCUUUCUCUCCCACCGCUUACAAUUUACUAUUAAUUUUUGUUAUUUUGAAAACCAAUAUUUAAUUAUAUUCCACGUUACAACUUCGUUUACAUUUUAAUUUGGGUCAAAUUGCUAAUAAUCUAAGGCGUACGUUUGUCUAAUGAGAAACUAUAAAAUAUAUAUUAUUAUAUUCUUAUUUAAAGAGCAGAAAAUUGAUUUGGUAGAGAACUAAUUCAAACUCUUUGUGCUCUCCACUCUUUAGAGUUUUGUUUAAUACCCCAUUAAAUAAGGAAAAAAAAUGAAAAGAAAGGGAGAAGGUAGAAAUAAUAAAUUCCAUCACUUAUUAUAAAUGGAAAGGAAAAAAUAUUUAGAAAGCAUUAUAUAUAUAUCCCUCAAUUUUACUAUUUUAACCUUUUAUUAAUUAUAUUAAAUAUUCUUUUCUUUUUUCUGAUAUCAAAUGAUACCUUACUUCCUUUCCUUCCACGUACUAGGUCUUUUCAGGCUUUAUUUUAAGUUGAACUUUCAAACAAAACAUGUGCGUAUACAUGGUUAUAUAGCAUGCAAGCAUUUAAUUUUACCCUUGACCUUUUGUAUGUAUAUUCUUUUCAAUACAAUUAUUUUAUGUCGAGAAAGUCAAGAUUUCGCAUGUCAGAUGGAAUUAUAGUUCUUCAAAAUUGUAAAUGGACCAAAAAAAAGGACAACUAUCAUAGCAAAAUUAUUCAAUAUUUUCUAUUUGUUGCACUUAACGACUUACUUACGACACAUGUGCUACCUGAUCUGUUUAGGAUCUAGCCCCCCCCCCUGUUUUAUAAAAAUAAAAUUCUCAGUUUAAUCCUUUAAAUUUAUAUGUGUAAUUAUUUUAAAAAUUUAUAAAAAAAACUCUCUAAUAAUUAAAUUGUCACUUUGCUAAUCCUCUAAAACAUUUGAUAACAAAUUAAUUCAUAAAAUUUUAAAAGGAAAUUAUUUUAUAUGAAAGUGAGAAAAUUUAUGAGUUUUUUAAAAGAAUAACAUCAUCUAAGAAAUAUAUUUUGAUACCCAUAAAUUUGAAGAAUAAAGUUUAAACUCCUGACAAGAUACAAAAUUAUUCAUGAAUCAUGUUACCUAAUAACUUCCUAUUGAUCCUUAUAAAAGAAUAAAAUGGUGGGAAAAAAAAAAUUCUUUUAGUGCUUUUUUUUUUUGCUGAAUAAAUUUAUUUGAGUGCUAAUUUGAUGAGAUUAAAUCUUAAAAAAAUAUCUUAACUUUUAUAAUAUUGAUUUCUGUUGAGGACUAGUGAAAGAUUAAUGUUUUUUUAUUCAUAAGAAUCAAAAAUAAAUAUUUGUGAGUUUGCAUGGAAUAAGUAACUUAUGUAUUUUGGUUAAUUAAUUCAACUAGAUUUUUUGAUAAAUAUUAAAUUUUUUAUUGUUGAGAUUAAGAAUCCAAUAAGAUUGAAAAAAAAUGAGCCAGCUUGAUUCUUUAGUAUGGUUGAGAUGGGAGAUAAUAGAGGCUGGUGAGGGGUGCGAGAUGAGGGAAAUGAUUACAUAAUUAAUUAUUAAUUUUUAUUAGUAAGAGAAAUUGAAUCUGUGAUUUUUUUAAUAUUGUUUUCUUAAUCAUCUAACUAAUUUUAUAUAUCUUAUAUAACAAUAUUAUAGGCUUAUUAUUUGCUUUAUUAUUCAUAAAAGAAAAGGUUAUUAUAUAUAUAUUAUUCGGCCGUCGUUAUGUGUCAAUGAGAGCAUAUACUUUUUUUAAUGCAUUUUAUUUUUAUUUUUUAAAAAAUUAAAUAUUUUAUUCUACUAUUUUUUCUCUUAUUUUUCAUUUAUUAAAAAACCCGUACAUUGCACAAGUUCCAAUGUUACUUUGCUUUAAAAUCUUCUUUAAAGAUAACUUAAGUAUACUAGUACCGUAGUACGUGUGUAUAAUACUUUACAGAGUUGAUCAGAAAGUGCAUAUUGGUUAUGUUAGAAACACAGAAAAGUUAGAGGAUUUCGGAUUGGAUUAGUUAAGUAACUAAUUUGAAACUUUUAAAUAAUAAAAAAGAACAAGUUAACUUUAUAAUGAAGUAGUUAUUUGGCAACAUUUUGAUUCAUAAUCUUGAUAUUGAUAGCUUGAAUGGCCUCAUAUGCAAACAGGUUUUCACAGGGCCGGCUAUAAUCUGAACCUAUAAAACAAAAGUAAGGGUUUUAACUUUUUAGGCCCCACAUGUUCUUUUAUGUAUACAGUUUCAGUGUUUUACUAUGAUAUGAUAUAAUUUGAUUAUGUUUAAAUUAAAAUUUCUUUAAUAAAAUUCCUAUAUACUCUUUUUUUGUAAUUAAUCUAGAAAAUUAAUUUUAUCAGAACUAAGUCUAAGAACUAUAGUAAAUAUUUUGCUCCCGUGCCAAAACAUAACUACGAAUUUGCAAAGGCAAUCGGUAACCAUAUUACAAAUCAAAACCAAAAUAAAACGAAGAUAAGGAUCUUGAUCUAUGUUUUUUUUUUUUAUUCCUUUAUACGUAUUACAGGACCGCGACUCUCACUCUCGAGGAUAAAAUAAGUAAUGUCAUUUGUUGAAAAAAAAAAUCAAAGAUUGAUAUUUAAUUGACAAACUAUGAAUAUAUUAAAAUAUCAAUUAUUACUUUUUUUUUAUCAAUGAUUUAAAUUUUAUCUAGUAAUUUUUGCUCUCCUCAUAGACUGUGUCUUCUUGCUUCUGUUGUUUUGCCUGGCUUAUAUUUAUACGACUUUGUACUAAAUGUAGAAGAUAAGACAAUAAGGAGGCUAUGUAAGAUAGUUCAGUUUGUUUCUCUUGCACAAUUUUGAUAAAGACAGGGGACAAACUAGAUAUAUUACUUUUGUGAUAUGGAAGGAACUAUACAUUUUUUUUUAUAUAUUAACCAUAACUUUGUUUUUCAAGCAAAAAAGUAUUUAUCAUUAAUUAAUUAAUUAAUUAAAGUUUUCUAAUUAAUAAUCCACAAAAAUUUAUAGACAUUCCUAUUUUUCCACUUACAAAAAUUUCUCGUCAUUGACAUCUUAAUUCUUAGUACAAUAAUUACUAGCAACCAGGGAUGAAUCCAAUAAUUCUUAUCGGUGGAGGUAAGAAAUAAUUUAUGAUAUUUCUAUAAAAGAAAAAUAUUGUAAGUUUUUAUAAAAUACAUGACAAAAGAAUAAUUUUAAAUACUUAAACUUUUAUAAAUUAUAAUUAUGUUUUAUGUAUUUUCAUUGAAAAUGUCAUGUGAUUGCAUCAUUGUUAAUAUUAUAAAAAAAAUAUCUCUUUAUGUAUGUAAUCAAAUAAUUAUUGAACCAUUAAUCUUGUAUCUUUUUUUCUUCACCAAAGAAACAUCUUAAAUGACAAAUUCUCUUAAUCUAUUUCUUAUUCUAUUUAAAAAUUAGGAUGAAAUCACUCAAAUAAAAACAUGUAAUGUAAGUUAGUGAAUGAAUUGUUGUGCUUGGUUGAAUAUUUAUUAGAGGAGUUGGAACAUUAAAAUUUAAGUUAUUAUUUUGGUCUUCUAAUUUCUUAGGUUCAAUUUAGACCUUUUAUUUUUAAAAGAUUUAAUCUAAUCCUUAAUUUAUAUAUAUUAGAUUUGAUUUAUUUCGUUUAUUUUUAAAAUUUCUAAUUAGGUCUUUAUUUUUGAAAAUAAAUUCAAUUGGGUUUCAUUUUUUGAAAAUAUUUGGACAUAAUGAAAAAAAUUAGAUCAAAAUAAAUUCAUUUUAAAACAUAAAAAACCUAAACAAAUCCUUUAAUUAAAUUAAAGGAACUAAAUUGAAUGUAAAAAAUAAAUUAGAGGAUCAAGAUAGUAAUUAAAUCUAAAAAUUAAAAGAAUAAAAUAGUAAAAUUUAUAUCAAUUUAUUCUCUCUUUUUAUUUCUUAUAUUUUUAUAUAUGUUUUUAAAAAAUUAUAUUAUAAGAACAAUACCUAUUUUUUGAUAGGAACAAUUUUUUUUAUUACACAUAUAUAAGUUAAAAUAUAAAUUUAAAGAAAUUGCCUCUACACCACAAUAGGUGAAUCCAUCCCUGCUUGCAACUUAUUAUCAUAAGCAUGCUUACGGCAGUGUUAUGAAAAUAUUCAAUGGCCUAAGAAGGGUCCAAUGGUUUACCCUCAUUAGUGAUAAUAUAGGGUUGAAAAAAAAAAACCCUCAUAAAAAAGUACACAUUAGUUUACUACCUACCUCUUGAUUUUGAUUCAUAGUAACUUGCAUGUGGGAUGGUUUGCAAAUAUACUUUCUCUUAUUUGAAACAUAGAAAGAUCACUAUUGCAGUUCCUACUCAUCUGCCAUAGAAGAUCCAACUCAUUCUCUUGAAAUUGCAAAAUACGUGAUCGCUCUUCUAGCUCCUUUUAUGGCCGAUUGAAGUGUUAGAUCAAAGAAGAAACUAAAUAUUGAUAUUUUAAUUCUUAGUGUUAUAUUUUGAGUUAUCAUAACUAAUUCAUACCAUAAUAAUAUAUGUGAAGUUUUAACUAUUUUUCUUAAAGAAAGAGAAUCAUAUCAUUUCAUUUUAUCAUUCAAAAUAAAAAAUGAGUACAAGAUGAGAUACAAUAGAAAAAAAAAACAUUAUUAUUAGCAUACAAUUUUUGACGUCCUAACUAAUUGAUAUGCUUAUCUUUUGAGAAAACUCACCACAAACUUUGAAUAACUAUUAAGACAUGCUCUACAUUAAGACAAGUUGAAGUUUAAAAUGACCUGCAGUGAAACUCAAUAAACCAAACCAACUACAACUGUGUUGCAAUCAUCAAGCUCAAAAAUUACAUUUUGGACAUCAGGAUCAGCCAACCAUGUUAAGCUCGGAAAACUACACCCGUUUUAUAAUAUUGAAAAAAACUUUUCAUAUAUUUAAAAUUUGUAGAUCAGUUUGAAACUAUUAUAAAUUCCAUGUGUUAAAAGGGAAUUUUCAAUGUUCGGUAGUUAGUAGUGUUUGAAAGAUUAUUAUUGCCAUUCAUUGAAUUGAGAGUGUAUUGAGGCCUAUUAUUUGGCGCACCACCAGUAAUAGAAAAUUAAAACAAUUACACUAAUUAUUUGGCAUCAGCAUUUGUCAAUCUCAACCAUCUAAUCACUUCCUGUAAUCAAGUACGAAAAAACAAUUCUUUUUAAUUGAGUCAGUGAUUUGCCGCCACUUUUUGUCUCUAAUUAUCAAAGCCUUGUAUGUUAGGCUACCUUUGGAUUGUUUUGUUGAAGAUCAAUAUGUGGCUCAACUGCUCAAGGUUGCAAUCAAUCAACCCAUCGAAAUUUUUUUUCUUCAUAUUUUUGGUUUAAAACACAAAAAUAUCUUUUAAUGAAAGCAAUUUUGCCCAAGUUUUGUAAAACUACUUUAGGUAUUAAAAUUUGAUGCAAUUACAUGUUUUGACUCGAAUUCAAAAUAACUGAUUAAGAUGAGACAAUCUCAUACCAACUCGUUUAUGCACUUGAUGAUAAAUUUUCCAUAUAUUAAUUAACCAAUAUUAUUUUCAUCUUGAAUCGUUUUUUACGGGCCUCGCAGUAAAAGGCAAGAGACGAACAACAAAUCAAAAGACAAUACCAAAUAUGGUGGUGGCGGUCCCUAAAUUCAAAGUGUCCCUGUGGGUGGCAUGUGCUAAUUGGCUCUCUUCUUAUCAUAAGGAACAUGGGUACCUGGUUUUUGUGGCAUUGGCUCACUCUUUUUUCUCACCAUCAACACAACAUUUACUAAAUAUCCACUUGACAUUCCACUCUACCCUUUUAGCAUCGGUGUCAAACCCCUUACACACCCAAUAACCGUUGGUACACCUUCCAUUUUAAACUGUAAAGUUAAACUCUUCCUUUUUCCUAGGUAUAAAAAUCUUGAACUUACUUAUAUAACAUGCAUUGCAUUUGUCACACACAAGCUUUGGACAACACGAGAUAAAAUUAAUUAAACACCCUGAUCAAACAUUAAUUUGAGGAUUAAUAUAAAACCAUUAUAAGCUUAGAAGUUGGAAUUAAAUUAAUAUAUGAGAGAAUAAGAAAGUAGGCAAUCAUGGACAAAUCCUAGGGAAGUUAUUGAGAAGAACAUGAGAACCACCAACUCGAUUUUUUUAUGAUCCGUUCUUAUCUCAUCUGAAUAGUAGAUAUAGAGUAAGCAGAUAUAUGGAAAGGAAUGGAAACAAACGGCUAAGAACUCAAAACUAGUAUGCUUUUCUUAACUUAUAACCAUAAGAACUUGUCGGCACGUUAGAACAAAAACAAACAACUUUGUAUUGUUCAAACUAACCGUGACAAAUUAGAUUCGUUCGCAGACGCGUAUUCAAGGAAACCCCACACCACCCAACAUAAGAAAUAUGCAACCUUUUCAAAUGCCAGCUCAGUUCGCAUGCCUGAUAGAAUGGGUAAGCUAAGAUACCACAUAUAUAUGUUGUACAAAAGAUGCUUAUAAUAUUUAUUUAAAAAAUAAGAGCACAAUUAUCGCUAAUUUUCUGAUCCUCAAGUCUCCGACCACUUUUUUUAUUUGCCUAAUGCUUAUCAAAAGGUAACCAAAUGAUUGGCCAUGAUUGGGACAUUCUUUAAUAUAGUGCGGGCUUUGGAGUAAGAAAGGCAAAAGGUAUUUAGCUGAUCACAAAAGAGUGAAAGAGACGAACAAAAUCAAAGAAAGGCAUUAUGAAGAUAAAAUAAACAAGGAGAAGCUAAAAUUGGUGCUAAUUAAAUUAAACUACAAUUAUUCUACUUAAUACUCUUACAUUAUAGAGAUUCGUUACAACUACUAAAAACAAAUGCCAUUUGAAGCACCUGGUCCCUUUGAUUACCUUCUUCUGGCCCAAUGACAACCUGCUACGAGUUGGAGAGCAUUUACGAAUAAUCUAAACCAAAUGUUUGUAUAGGAUGUCCGUAAGAGAUUCCUUUUAAUUGCUCCUCUUAUUUUUUUUUCUCGUUCAUUUAUUUUCCCUUCUUGGUUUGUAUAAGCUUAACAAGAAUAACUAUCCGUAUAAUUGUAAGGGUCACUUUGGAAUACGAACAUGGAGUUAACAAAGAUCACCAGGACUAUUGGAGAUUAGAAUUUGUGUUUGGGUCCUUUUCCAAGAGUGUGGGAGAAGUGGGUUACCGGACUUUUAACUUAAGUGACCUCUUAGUCCAAAAAUAUCUUGGCACUUCGAAUUUAUGGUAUUUUUUUUUUAUUUACAAGCGAAUUUAUGGUAUUCUUAUUUAUAUAUUUUUUAACUUGUUUUUAACAUACCAACGUUAGACUUAUUUUCCAACACUCCUCCUCAUGUCCUUAACCUUAAGGACAGUGUGAAAUGUCAUUUGUGAUCAAUUGAGUUUGGGGCAAUUUCUUCCUGCACCCUAAUCCGGAUCGGAAUGUAAUUUAAAUUUUGGAUUUUCCAUUCCAAAAUGUAAAUUUAUAUUUUUUACAUUUUGGAUUGAGCUUUCUGCAAGGUUAAAAUGAUGCAGGAAGCACAUCGGAGGUGAAGGAAGCAAUUGCCUGAGUUUGGAAGUUGAGAUUCGUGAUCUAGCCCAUCUACAAUAACAGUUUGGACCUUGACUUGUUUUAUUUUGGCAAUUGCUAUUUCCACUUGCCAAUUUUGCUAAUGCACUCCCCUUUUAAAUUUGUUUACCCAAACUACCCUCUAACCGGAAAAUAGAUUCUGGAAUUUCUCUACACUCCCUCUUUUUUCGGAGUCUAAUUUCCCGAAGCCAAUUCUAUUAAAUAGGGGAUUAAUCUGAUAAUAGUAUCAAAUUAGUGUAUGGAAUGAGUGCAUGCAGUGGCGGGGUUUGAAAACGGGUCUGUCAUAAAAUGAUGUGCAGUGUGUGGAUAGAAGCAAAUUCAACCUAUUAAAAUACCCCGAACAGGAUUGCACCAAGAUAUCGAUCUCUCUUUUGAGAAAAGACACAACACGUAACAUCAUGGACCAAGUCCAAUUCUGAAAUUUCUUGUCUGACCUGAUAUAAACAGGAUAUGGAGAGAAUCACAUUCCACUAGCAUCAUUCUUCAUUACCACUGUUUCUGCCUUCCAACUGUUCGAUAAAACUCCCAGCCCAACUGAUCCUUCUGUUUUUAUUAAAGCCAUACAAAUCCCACCUAUCUCCAUAGGCCACCACAUAUUCCCUGGAAGUGCCUGAUACAAGGUCAACAAAACAUAUCUGUCUACCCUCCAAGGCCCAAGCCUCCCAAGCAAGACAUAUUUAAAAAGCCAAGCAGUUUACAAGAUUUAUUAACCUCGCUGAAAGUGGAUAGAUUAUUUAGAGUAUCGAAAGUCAGAAUGUUGGGUGCAAUUAGUUGGCGACAAGGACAUUAUUUCACAAUUGGCGUAAAGCUUGUUGGUACUGAAAGAGAGAUAAAAGGAUAGCUUUUUGAUAGAUACGAAUUUUUGUAUUAGGUGGAGAAACAUGUAUGAUUCAUGUUGCUUGAAUCUUUUUCUAUUGUGGUUUCUUGAACUGACACGUCUUGUGCUUUUUUGGAUUUUUUUUUUUUGAUAAAGAUUUUGCUUAUCCAAAAAAAUAUUCCUUAAAGGGGGGAGUGUAAAUACAUUUUAGAGUCUAUUUUCCAGUACGAGGAUAUUUUGGGUAAACAAAUUUAAAAGGGAGUGCCUUAUAAAAAAGGAGGAGUAGAAAGAACAAUUGCCUCUAUUUUUAAACUUCAACUUACUCGUUAAGUUUGGACCUCAAAGACAAGUUUAACUUAUUGCCCGGUGCUUCUUUUCUUGAGUAUUAGAGGUCUUUGUUAUAGCCUUUUUUGGUUUUGUUUUGGGCCUUCGAAGAUUUCUUUGCCAAUCUCUAUUCCUUUAUUUUUUUGGACUUUGGGUCUUCCCUUGGACAGACUUUGACAGUUGAUAUAAAAUUAGAUGUUAGACUUAAAUAAUUUUUUAUUGUUGUAAUAUAGGAUUGCUAUCAUUUUGGUUUUCUUUAUUUUUUCUCUCUUUUGAUCCUUAUAAAAUAUUUGCAUUUGAUUUUGGUCCCUUGCAUUACUACUAUUUCAGUUCCUAUACAAUUGAAAACUUUUUAUUAUAUAAAUCUCUUUUAUAUUAAAAAAAAAUUCAUUUUAGUUCCCCUUAUAUAUAGAAGGAUUUUCAUUUUAGUUUCACUUCUAUAGGGAGAUUUCCAUUUUAGCCCUUACAUAAUACUGUAAGAAACAUUAAACUUGUUUUCAAAUUUUAUUAAUCAUAUCACUUAAUAAAAAUUAUGAAAUUGAUAACUAAAAUGAAAAACAAAUAAUUAAUAGGGAUCAAAAUGAAGAAAUUUUAAGAGGACAGAAUGAAAACCAUAUAUUAUAUAGAAACUAAAAAACUAUUUAAGUCUAGAAUUUUAUGUGGACCUUUAUCCAACUUAAAAGAAUGGAUUAGUAAAGACUUUUUACCUUAGCGACCUGUUUGUUUAAAAAUGCUUUGAUGCUGUUGGACUGAUCAUGGCUCUCUCAUAUAAUAAUAUCCUUUUACCCAUUCUCUAACAAAAGAUACAUCCAUCUAUAGUAUCCAUAGAAAUAGACUAGGAUAAAAAGUGAUGAGAUAGUAACGUAUUUUCAUGAGAUAACAAUAUCCCUCACUGCUUACAUCAGACAACUGUAUUCCACACAGCCACAUCAGAUGACAAUAUCCCACACUGCUUCAGUGGUUAUAUUCGUGCGUGGCGCCACACUAGUAGCAUCAUAAUGUCUUAUGCACAGGAUUUUCGUUUAAAUGAAAAAAGCCUACUGUGCAAUUGAAUAUUUAAAUGGAACGCAAUGCUGUAAGCCAGUAAUUCAGAAUCAUUCGUGAAGAUUGUAUAUUGCAAUCUAUAUAUGGUUAUGUUUGAUCUUCUGUUUGGAAUGCUUCAAACUUAUUUAAGAGUAUUAGAUUACUGUUGUGACUGGUAUUAGUUAGUUUAAUUAGUUAUAAAUUAGUUACUCUUGUAAUUAAUUAUAUAAGAAUUUAUUAACAUUAAUUAUAUAAGACUCAAUGUAUUUAUGUAAAAAUUUAAUUUACUCAUAAGAGUAUUAUUUAAAAUAAUAUUCAAUUUUUUCUUUCUCUCUUUUACAUCUCUAUAUCUUAAAUUUUAUCAUGGUAUCAAAAUCUUACCACCCAUCAUAGAAAUUUUCCGUUGAUCCUUCACCUUUUUGUUUCUGUUUGGUUUUCCUCUUUGUUGCCACUAUCGAUCAACCUCUUCAUUCACCGCUCUCGUCAUCCUUUAUCACGAGUCAUCGAUUAUAGCCAACACCUACUUUCAUUCAAUCCUUAUUCGUCUUCUCCUCAUAUUUCUCUUCUCGUCAUCCUUUAUCAUGAGUCAUCGAUUAUAACCAACACCUACCUUCAUUCAAUCCUUAUUCAUCUUCUCCUCAUAUUUCUCUUUGUUGUCACUAUCGAUCAACCUCUUCAUUCACUGCUCUCGUCGUCCUUUAUCACGAGUCAUCGAUUACAGCCAACACCUACCUUCAUUCAAUCCUUAUUCAUCUUCUCCUCAUAUUUCUCUUGUCGUUUUUUGAUUUCAUUUUCCUAAAAUUUCCCCAAAACACAAAAUCCUAACAUUUUCCUUUUCCAUUUCUGGCCAAUUCGGGUUGCAAUUCAUGAAACCACCACCACCAAUCGACUUAUUUCCAUGUCCGCAGCAAAACCCUUAUGAUUUUAGUUUCUGUCGCUGUGCGUCGCAGUGAGGUGAUUUUCGGCCGCCGCGAUCCUCCGUCAUUCGCCACAGACAAUGAUUUCUGGCCACCGUCGGAUCUGAAUCUCUCCAUUGCCUAUUCUGCUUUCGACGUUCCAUGCUCUCACCUUGUGCUUUUCAAUUUGGUCAUUUAGCUAUCUCUUCCAUCCUCCUCUGUUUUUGUCGUCGUGUUGAUUGUCACACAAGUGUAGUGUUUGGAUUUUGACAGAUGUUGUGUACGAUGGAAUCUUCUUAGGCUUUUUGUUUGAGCACUAAUUUGAGAUUGUUGAAGCCUCUUAUUGGAGUUGUUUAGUUCGAUUAGUUGAUGAAUUUUCUCUUCUUGUUUGAUACUGUGCUACUUGCUUUCAAGCUGUUUGUGAGUAUUCCUGUUUGAUGACAGAUUAGAGUUGUGGUUGCUUCUGUUUCACAAAAUAUUUGUAAAAAGUCAUCAUUAAAGAUAAAUUUUGUGUUCUUCUAUUUAUUGAUGCUUUAUGUUGAUGUAAACUUUUGUCCAUGGUGAUUAAGCAUUGUUUGAGUUUUUGCCAUGAAUGGUUAAGCAUUGAAUUAUUGUUUUGCUUCUGUCUUGAGUGGUUAAGCAUUAUUGUUGGCUUCUACUCUUGAUGAUUAAGUCUUGUUGCUUCUGCCAAGUGGUUAAACUUUGAGGUAUAUUUUCUGCUUGACAGUUAAGCUUUGAUAGCUUCAUGGAUUGAUGGUUGUAGCUUCUACCAAGUGGCCUUGUGUUGUGGCUUCUACUUGGCGGUCAAGCUUUUGAUGAUUGAUUUGGACUCUUAGUUCUAUUGGAGUUGGAAGAAGUUCUACGAGACUUGUAUUAUUACUUAGUUUCAUUGUAUUUUGAUAUUUUUUCUAUUAUCCUCUCCAAGCUAGAAGUGUUAUAAACACCUUCCAGCUUGGGGGGCUAUUAGAGAUAAAAAUUACUAUUGGAGUUGGAAGAAGUUCUACGGGACUUGUAUGAUUACUUAGUUUCAUUGUAUUUUGAUAUGUUUUUUUUUAUUAUCUAUACUACAAGAUGCAUCUAUUUUUUAGUUACCUAUCACUUAAGAAUUUUAUAGUUAAACGUGUUAGUUUUGGAGUAGUUAUGAGAUGUGUGACCUUUUGGAAAAUUUCCUGAAAAAUGUGUGAGUGAGGACAAAACAUGUUAAAAAGUCUUGUUUUGAUUUGUGGGGUGAGUUAUUGAUUCUAGAAGCAAACAGAACUGGAGGUCAAAGGAUUACCUACGAAGAGUUUUGACUAAUAAGGAUGUUGAGUGAAGUACCACCGCUUGAAGUAUUGUAGUGUGAGAGUCGCUCAGAAGUUGAAAAUCAGGUAUGUUACAAAUGAUAUGAGAACAAACCUCUCUUCCAUUACGGUGUGGUUCAAAGAUGAAUCAAAUGGAAGCUGGUGAACAUGUAACACUCCGAUCGAAUCAACCAGAAUGAGAGAGAUUCAAAGACUAUGGAAAUAUAAGACUGUACAACCGAUGAUGAUUUAAAUGAAUUAAUUGAUAUUACCUAUACUAACAAGAUACAUUUAUUUUUUAAUAGUCAAUCACUUAAAAACUCUAUAGUUAAGCAUAUUUAACUUAAAGUAGUUACGAGAUGAGUGACCUUCUGGUAAAUUUUUAUAGAAAGUGUGCGAAUAAGAACAAAACAUACUAAACUGAAAAGUCUUGUGUAUUGACUUGUGGGGUCAAUCAUUAAUUUUAGAAGCAAAUAGAACUGCACCGAUAAGUAAAAAAUCCGGAACCUUAAAGUGAUAAUAAUGUUUCCCACAUGAUCAUGCAUAACACCAACAUAGGCAGCUUGCUUGAGGAAGCUUUAUACGACCCAUCAACAUUUAUUAACAGGCUAGGAGGAGGGGUCCAAGAGAUGGCUACCUCUUUCCGAUUGGGGGGAGCGAGGACAGAGAGUUUCCCGAUGUUUCCUUCGAAAUCACCUUGGUCAUAGAAACAACAUGCUGACAUAGGUAUAGGGCAUAUUAGUCCUGUUAUUGAACACCAGCUUAUUACGAUCAUUCCAUAAAUGGUAAGUAGCAACUCCAAAUAAAAUAGGCCAGUCGAGAUUAACAUUUCCACUAUCAAGAGAUGAAAGAUUAAACUGAAUCCACUCGUGAAGACCAAGACUAAAGAAUUUUGCCCAACUGUGGGAAGGGACAGAGCAGUCCCAAAAGAGGGUCAACUCCUCACAAUCCCAAACCAUAUGCAUAAUAGUUUCAGGACCAUGGUGACAACAGGGGCAGGUAUCAUUAUUAGACAUAUAGCGCCUCAUGCACUCAUGGUUCGUAAGCAGUCUGCCAUGCACAAUCUUCCAAAGGAAAACUCAAAUCUUCCAAGGGUCAUUCCACUUGCAAACUAAGGGGAAAAUACUAUCAACUUGAGACGGAUCAUCAUCUAGCAUAAAAAGGUAAUAAUAAACUGUUUCUAGUGGUCAAAAUACCAUUUGCUGAAUGGCAUCAAAUAGGAACAUCCUCUCCUGAUGGGGAUGGAGGUUUGACAGCUGAAAUCAAAUCACAAAUAUCUGGGGGAAGCAAAGUAGAGAUCGUGUCCCAUCUCCAUCCAGAUUCACAUGCAUAAGCAGAAAUAGGGAGGUUAAUAACAACAUCAACCCCUCCAAAUACGGGACGCAUCAACAACAUGUUUAACAAUCGGGAUAACUCCCAUCCCACAACCAUACUUAGCUCUAAUAACUUUAGCCCAAAUCUUAUCAGGUUCAUGAAUAAGAGACCACCCAAGGUUAUGCGGCUAGCUAGAGACAAAUUCCUGGCCUUCUAGCUAGAUAAUUUCUUUUUAAUCUUUUCCAAGAUACCAUCAUACUGAUGACAAGGUUUUCUUCCAUGCAAAAUAGAGAACCCAAGAUAAGAUGUAAGAUUAUCUGUAAUUGGAAUGUUGAGCUUAACACUUAAAUUGACAACAUUUGGUCUAACAUUCUUCCAAAAGAACAUAGAAGAUUUCGCCAUCCUAAUAGCUUGAUCAGAAGCCCCACAAAAGAGAUUAAUAAUCCUAUUCAUUUCAUUAACUUGUCUCUCAGAAGCUUCUCCCACUAAGUUGUUAUCAUCAGCGAAAAAGAUAUGAGAGAUAGGAGUUUGAGUCCCCCUCCCAAAGUUAAAAGGAACCCAUUCCUUGUUCUGGACCGAGUCAAAGAUAAUAAGAUGAGAGAGUCGUUCAUCACUGAGGAGAAAAAGUUAAGGGGACAUGGGAUCCCCUUCGCGCAUACCCCAAAUGCAUGUAUAUAUGCAAAGAUAAAUAAGUGAAAACAUAAAUAAUUAAAUAUGAUCUCAUGAACUAUGCUAAAUGCAAAAUUGCAAACAUGUGAACCUAUCUUAGAAACCUUAUUGUGGCUAACAAAACAAAAAGAUAUUUUGAACUUAACCUAAACUAUAUAUAAAUUAACUUUUAACGAAAAAUCUGUCGAAGAUAUAUGCUAAUUUCAUUGAGUUGAUAUAAGCUACAGCCACAACAAGAAUCAAACUAUGUAGAGGUGGGAAAUUUAUGACUCAUAAGCCACGACACUUCCAUGUGUUUAGUUGGCAGUUGGCCCUACUGUUUGCUUUUUUUUUUUUUUAUUAUUGAUUUAGUUUCAUUAUUUGAACAUAGAAAGAUUAAUAUCAUACGUGAUUAUUAUCUAAUUAUUUAUAUUUAUAUUUAUAUUUAAUUUAUAUAUAUAUAUAUAUAUAUAUAUAUAUAUAUAUAUAUAUAUAUAGAUUUAUGUUAAAGAACGUUAUAUUCAUUGUUGAUCUAUAUGAGUGAUAAAAAACUUUCUGUUAUCAUCAGUUUUCGGUGAGGGUUGCUAGCUCUUCCUUCUACUCAUCCUUCUCUUGGCUAUUCAUAUUAAUUGGCUUGCUCAACUUGCAAAUGAUUAGGACCAGAACUUUAAUUUCUAAUUUCUUUACCGAAAACGUUGAUUUGAAUUAUAAGCUUUUUGUUCCCUGGCAAUAUUAUCUUUUAUUUAUGAAUUUUAUUUCGAGAAGCUGCUGCAUAAUUAUAUUCUCUUUUGCAUUUUGCAGAGAGCACAAGUAUCUUUUGUACGAAGGAAUCUGCUCGAUCUAGUUACGAUAACUAUGGAUAUGGAAGUUUUUCUUCAUUCCCAAUAUUUAACUUAGCUGCAUAAAACUAUUGACUAGAACAACCUUACGUCAUGUUCUAUGAUAGCUAGCAGCUACUACUGGUAAGCUACUGCAGAGCUUAACACAGCCUCACCUCCCUUGCACGUUUUGUACCUGAUGAAGAGCCAACACAACCAUUGGUGCUAGUCAAAAACUGAUUAAAAAAACCCUUUCAGUUGCAGCUAUGCCGUUACUUUGGAAGAUGGAGUAUCAUGAUAUUCUGGAAUAAACUAAUCAGACAUAUAUAGACCUAUGUACAGUAGUGUAAAUGGUUUUUACUUGGAUAAAUUUAGAUUCCCUUUUGUUGUUUGUUAUGGAAUAAUAUGAAAUAUAUAAGCCUUUUAGAAGGGGAAAAAAAUGCAAAUUCAUCAUAGACCACAAUAAUUGGAUGUAAAAUCCAAUAUUUUUUUUAAAAAGAUAUUGUCUUCUCUCUCGACUUUAGGGAACCAUUUGAAUUAUUUUGGAAGCUGAAAACAAACAUAUUAUUAGAAAACCAUGCGUUCUCUCCAAUUCGAUACGAUCUAAGACCCUGAGUCAGUGGGUAUAAAUUAUAAAAAAUAAAAUUAGUGGGUUCAAUUAUAUAAAUAUAAAUAAAAUAAAAUAUAAAAAUAUAAGAUUUUAUUUACAAAUUUAGUGAAUUUUAAAAAAUGAGGGGAUGCAAGUGCACACCCUCGGUUCAAUGUAGGUUCGCCACAUCACUACUCAUGUUUCUGAAUUACGGUUGACAAGCAUAUUUAUUACGAACAAUAUCAAUGUUUUAAAAGUUUUUACUGUAUCACAUUGUAAUAGUAGUAAUGUUAUUGGAACCUCAAUUGUAAUUUAAAACCGUAUUACUAACAUAUAUAUAAAGAUCGAUCUAUUUUAUUUUUGUUACUGAUGAUAUCAGUGUUGAUUAGUUAAAUUAAUCUACAACCUUUCAGUUAUUCUAUGAGUUGCUAAAUAUCGCUGUAUGCUUCAAAAAAUGGGAAAAGUCAAUAAUUUAUUAGGGAAUACUUUCUUAAUUCCAUAAAUAAUUGUAUAAUAAUAAUAAUACUAUACUAUAAUACAGCAUUGAUUUGGGCGAUCGAAAGGCGAAUAUUUACUACUUAGCCAUGAAUUUCUUCUUAAACCACCUCUUGACCAUUAUUUGCCGCCUUUGAUGAACGAAGUGAAUAUUGACUUGCCAUCACUGCAUCAUCCAAUAUUAGAUAAAACGACUCCUUCCCAAUUUUCUCAACAAACUUGGACAUUAUAAGCUUCUCCAUCACCUCCAGUCUUGGGUUUACGAACAAAACCUACACAAUAAGGGGAUGGAAAAAACAACAUAAAUCACUUAAACAGAUUCGUUUAUACACAAAUCAAUUUUGGAGGAUCUACUCAAACGACUUGAAAUCCAUGUGAUACCUUAAUUCCAUUCUUUCCCAAUAUUAUAAUUAACUCGUCCAAUGCUUUAAUAGCAGUUGUAUCAAUGGCUGUCACUCCUGUAUAAUAAAAUCAAGGAAAACUUUAUACACGUGUAUAAUAACCAUAAUUUUUUUUUUCAUAUAAACUGCAUGAUCCAAGAGAAUUCUCAACAUUGUAUACAAAUUUUCUAUCUUAAUAUUAAUUACCUGACAAAUCAAGUAUGAUGUGCUCAACUACAUCUCCAGUAGAGCUUUCCUCACUUCGAAUGUACCUCAUAAUCCUAAUGCAAAAUUCCAGAAAAAAAUUAGAAUGUUCAAUUGGGAUGCAUCGUGUUUGUCGUGGACCAUUAAUAACUGUGAGCAAGAAUGGAUCCAAGGAGACAAGCACGGACCUUGACCUCCUGCCUUAGGGCUCUUUGUUUAUAUAUGAGAAAAAAAUUAUCAAAAUUAAAAAAAAAAUAUUAAUCAAGAGAAAUAUAUCUAUCCAUAGUAAAAGAAAUUGUUCCCGGAUCCGUCGUCCUGAGUGUGAAUAUCCAUAAUUUACCUUUCUUUGACGUAUAAAGAAUUUGCAAAGUAAACGGGAGAACCAAGUUGUACAACAAGAACUCCUGGGUAUGUUAAUACUUUAUAUUGCUUCGUGUCUCUAUAUAAACCAAUUUCAGGUAACUUUCCAAGCUUGCAUGACGCAGGUCUAGCCACAUACAUAAGUGCUCUAAGAAUGCCGAGUCCAACCUUGACAUUGCAAAUAGAAUAGAAUAAUCGAUUAAAAUUAACAAAUUAAAUCGAUAAUUAAAAAAAAGAAUUAAUUGAGUACUCACAGACAGCAUGAGGCCAAUAUCCAUGCUUACUAAGAUAACUCCAAGGAAGGCAACCAUGCAAAUAACAAAGUCAAACUUGUCAACUUUGUAGAGAUGGAUGACUUCUUCGAAAGGAAUGAGCCCAAGCAUGGCAGAAAUAAUAAUAGCUGAAAGGGCAACAAGAGGGGUGAAGCCAAAUAGUGGCGCCAAAAAUAGUAGUGCGAGUGCCACUAUUAUUGCCUGUACCACGUUUGCCAUCGCAGUUUUACACCCUGCGUUGUAAUUCACCGCAGUCUUGGAAAAUGGUCCUACAAAUAUACAAUUAAGGACCAAACAUAUAUUUAUUAGCAUAUACUACUAUUACCUAGGUACCCAAAAAUAUUCAUCCAAUAAGAAAUAAGUUUUUACUUUGUUAAAAUUUAUUUUUUAUAAAAAUGAAAGGAGGUGGUAACAUAUAGUAUUUUUCCUAUUAUUAAUGGGACGGUUGUUAAUUCGUGCNNNNNNNNNNNNNNNNNNNNNNNNNNNNNNNNNNNNNNNNNNNNNNNNNNNNNNNNNNNNNNNNNNNNNNNNNNNNNNNNNNNNNNNNNNNNNNNNNNNNCCGGACAAGUCAUAAGGCCGAAAGCGAUCAUCUCUUGUUCCCAUCAUGAGGUGUAUAUCAACAACAGCAAAGCUUCUUCCUAUUGCUAUUCCUUCCUAAUAAAAUUAAGUAAAUGAUAAAUAAAUAAAUAAAAUUGAAAAAAUAGUAUUGAAGAUGAUGAUUGGUUGGAACUAAUUGGUUGCUUACCGCUAAUGACAACACCCCUGUGAUAAGACCAGCUUGCAUAACUGCUGGUAAAUAUUUAGAAUUAAAGUUCAGAUAGUGGAUGGACAAGGGAUUUAGUCCUUUAUCUAGAUGGCCCACCUAUAUAAUUAAUCAACUUCAUACAUAAGAAAAAAAAUGAAAUUAUGGUAUAUAAGAUUCUUAGAAAGUUUACUUAAAAAAAUAUUAGAAAGUGAAAAAAAAAAUAAUUAUAUCUAACUCACAAUUUGAAUUCCAUGAUCUUGGCCCUUGACGAGGUAGGUGAAAACCCCAGAAACUACUAAAGUCACCAUUGGAGCUAUAGCCGUUACCCAAAAGAGUUUUGGAUUCUUAUUCCUCUGAAAAAUUAAUUGUAUCAAAAGGUGAAAUAAUCUAUUAGAAUAAAUUAACUUUGAUACACGUAUUAACUUAAUUAAUUAAAAAAAUACCAAUAGUAUAUAUGAUGAAAUACCAAGUAUGUCUUUUGUGAAAUAUUGCUACAUUUUCUUUGUCUAACGUGACUUUACUACUACUCUUUUAGUAUUCUUGCUAUAAUUAUUAUAUUCAUAAUCUGUUGAUAUUGAAAUUCUUAAUGUCAAACAAGGUUGAGUGGGGCACUAAAAUUCUUCUCACUCCACUUUUCCUUGUUCUUUAUCAAAAUAUUUUCCUUGUUCUUUAUCAAAAUAAAUAUAUGGAAAAGAGAAAGCUGAAAUGAGAAGGACUAUAUCUUCCGAUAGAGCACGUACUCACCAGGUGCUUGGUAAAUUGCAAGAAAGCAACCAAGAUGACGCCAAGAACCGCAGGUUCCCACCUAAUCUGUUAAAUAAAUCAAAAAAGAAGUUCACCUACGUUAUUUCCAAAUUAUAUAUAGAAAUAACAAUUUUCUUUUUCUAAAAUAUGAAUUAGCAUGAGGACUGUUUCGAUGAAACAAAAGAAAUUAAAAGGGAAAAAUAGAAUUAAUGAAAAAUUGGUCAAGUCUUUAUACAAGAGUCAUGCAUGUUAAUUAGUGUGUAUUCUAUACCAUUUGUUGUGUAGGCCCUUAGGUCCUGACACAAGGUUAGAAUUAUAGUUCUUCUAAAGUGGUAUUUCACCCAUGGCUUUGGCCCGUAGAAGGUGGCGUUCUUUGCCCUCCACAUAAGCUGUACUGGAAAAGUCCAAAACCAAUCUUAGGAAACAGUGAAGUUUCAUGGGAUUUUUCUGUCUAGGUGUAGGUAAUUUGCAUCUUCACAGACAGAAUGGAAGAAAAGUAAUGAAACCCGCUGAACAUACAACUUGUGGUACGAACUUCAUGCGGGAUGUUUCCGAGCUAGAUUGCAAAACUGAAAGCCGGGGGGAGGGGUUUGUUUAACAUCAAGACUCUGGCAGAUCUUUCAUCUUGAUGGGCUAUUCUUCGCAUAGUGAGGCGUUUUUAAGCCAGUGAAAGUAUUUUUUAUGAUAUUAUUGGCCCAUACGAUUUUCCCUAUCUAAAUAAAGCAAGUUUUCCAUGAAGAAGAUUUGAUGAAACAUGUUUUAUUCUAUAAGGAUAGGAGAACCUGAUUCGAUUUUCUUAAAAAAAAUAAAAAAAUUAGAAUCAAGUCAAGAUGACACGGAUCAAUCCCUCCUCUUGCGUUCUUGGGCCAAAGAUUCGAGCCCCAUCAGUACCAAUUGAUUCAACCCCCAAAAAAGACAUCCAGAUGAUAAUAAAAUAUAGAGAUGCAAAAGUUAUUCUUUUUGGUUAUAAUGCUAAAAUCUCAUGUCCUAGGAUUACUAGUUUAUUUAAAUGUUUCUGGUCAAAUUAUCAGUGCCCUUAGUGAUUAAAUUUAUUAGUUAUGCGUUAUACUUUCAUGUGCGUUGGUGAAGAUAAAAUAUAUAUAAAUGAAUAAUUAUUAAAAAAAAACUACUCCUAUAAAAAAUGAUGGGCACAUAUGUGCGUGUGGGUAAGUGAGAUAUUGCAACUUGAUCGAUGCUUCUAUUCAAAGAAGCUACAAUUGAGUUGAGAUAUCAUUAUCAUUUUUUAGGGGGAACUAUCCUUAUAUGCAAUAAUUGGAUUUCGUAUGGCAACCUUUUACUAUUUUGAUCGGUCAAGCCAAAAUAAAGGGGCACUAAUUUCAAUUUGUUCUAUACUAACCUCGUGUCUAUUGCGGACAAUGCUCUUCACCACUUCGACCAUGUUCGAUUUAGUUGAAAAAUGUUUCAUUCCAAAUACGCCCUUUAGUUGUUGGAGGAUGAGAGCUACUGCUGUCCCUCCGAUGAAGCCAUUAAUGGUAGCAUGGGAAAAGAAGUCCACCACUAUCCCCAGCCUACAAAAAGUUUCCUCAUUCUCAUCACCCACCACACAAAAAUAGAAUGAAACUUAUUCAGUUGCAUUCAAAUUAAACUUGUAGUAGAGGUUUGGGUAAUUUGUAUAAAAUUCUAAUUUCAAGAUAAAUUAUUACAUAUAAUCUCAAAUCACAAACGUGUUUAUUAAAAAAUAAAAAAUCACACAUGUGUCAUGACCAAUCUUCACACAUGAUAAUUGAAAAUUUUAAUUUACCAAAGAAAUUGAUAACUUUGAAUUAACCUAGCCAGUGGUAUGCAUGAGUUAUUAGCUGUUGGAGCAUAAUAAAUAAUUUUCUUCAGUUUGAGGCAACAUGGUUAUUGGAUAGCCAGCUACAUAUUUUUUCUUUGUUAGUUUUAUUUUGCUUUCUUGGUGCCAAACACAUCCCUAACCGAUGGAAUCACUUUUCAUGGCCAGGCCCACAUGAGAGGGUGGUUUAAGGUAAAUGAAUUUGUUCUUACCUAAAUAAUCCCAAACAAGCCUGGAAAACACCGGUGAUAAAGGUGGUGGUGAAAAUCAAAUGAAGAUACAACGUUGGAUCUUCUACUGGGUCUGCCACGGUUUGUAUGGUUUGAGCAAUAAGCAACGAUGCUCCUGCUAUCGUCCCGACUGCCAUGUGCCUUGAACUCCCAAAAACAGCAUAGAUCAAAGGUGGGACAAAGCUGGAAUCUGAUAUAAAAAAAAGUCAAAUCAAAACAUAUCACUUCAGAGAUAUGAGAUAUAAAGUAGAUUAAAUGAUUAAGAAAAACAUUUGAUUCUUUUUACUAACAAAAACUAAUAAUAUUAACAAUUAUAUAAAAAAAAUCAGUUCAUCGAAAACAAGUACUUAUAACCUUAAAAAUCGAAUAACUAUAUAGCCACUCUUUAUAUCACAAGGAAAAACUGUCAAAGGAAGUACGUAAAUGUCUAAGCACCCAGAUAAGGGAUUGAAUCAAUCAUAGACAAAGAAGAGAUAAAAAUUUAUUAAUCUAUUAUCUUUUGUUGAUAAAAUUCACACACAUUCAAUCCAUGAACCAUGUGCACAAAUUUACAAAGGAUGAAGAAAAUCAAUUAUUAUUAUUAUUAUUUUCAUUUCUACAUAUAUUUUCUUUGGGAGGCAAUUGUGAUCGGAUACUAAGUCUGGUCAAACAUAAUUGCUGUCGAAUGCGGAUACUGAACAAAGAAAAUCAAUGGUUUAAGGAGUAUGUACUAGAGUAUAGAAAUAAGAAAGCAAUUAAUAUUGCAUAUGUUGAGACAGACAUUAUAUGAAUGUGUAGGCAAAAGUGAUUAAAUGCAAAAGAUGAUGAUGCCAAACACGCUAAUUAAGUGCAAAGAGGUGAAAUAGUGAUUCUUACAAAGGCCAACGAGGGGAGGAAGGUCAGCAAGUUUGGCAUAACUAAUGCCCUGAGGGAUAGCAAGGCUUGAGAUGGUUAGGCCAGCGAUCAAGUCAGAGACAAAGAGGCGCCAAUUGUAAGUAGGGAGCCACUCAAAGAUUGGGAUGUAGUAUUGCACCCCUUUCAUCACUCUCCGCAUUGGCUUCUGCUCCUUCUUGAACUGCCUGAAGGGGUCGUCCGGAAACAACGCUUCCUUCAACGCCUCCUUCAGUUUCGUCCCAAACCCUCUCUGGAUCGAGAAAUUCACCCCAUUAUCACCACCAUCCUCAUGGUGCUGAUUAUGAUUUUUAACCUCGCUGUUACCAAUGGAACCCAUCGUACUAACAACAAUAGCAACAACAACAGAUAUCAGAUAUGUAUGCAUGUAUGUGCACACUACUAAAGUGGAGUUUAAGAGGGUUUAUGAGAAAAUAAAUAACUACUUACAAGAUGGUACUACUUACUUGUUUGUGUUGGACGCCUGGUUGCAAUGAGUAUAUAUAGGCUCUAGUAGUGGCAACUAUUUCGGGGUAAAUGGCAUUACAGUGGAUUCUAAGUCUUCAAAUUGGAAGACCUUCAAGGCAUCUUUGGUGUUUUGGGGCUUUUUUUUUUUUAAUAAAAAGAAUAAAAUUCUUUUGCUUUGGACAAUUGGGAGAAAUUCGAGAAUGCGGAAUUUGAAAUGGUUUUGGAUCAAAGUUUAACGUUGUUUCUUAUACUGAAAUUUUUUUGGGAUAUAAAAUAUUUUAAUAUUUAUAGAAAUGAAAAGUAUAUUUUAAUCUAAUAGUUAUAAAUUAAAUUAUAGAAUAAUUAUCAUUUUAAUAUUUUUGAUAUUACAUUAAUUAUUUUUAUUCACUAAUAUCUCUUAUAAUAUUAAUGAUAAAAAAAUUAAAUAUGAAUUAAUGAUGAUAAGAUUAAAUUAAUUUGUAUAUAAUUAUUAUUAUCUUUCAUUCAUUUAUUAUUUUUAUAGCUUUAUAUAAAAUAAUAUAAGAUAACAAUUUAUUUCGAAUAACUAUGUAUUAUUUGAAAGAAUUUAUUAUUUAUGGGAGAUGAAUUUGCCCCACUCUAAUGCGUCGCUUGAAUUGUCUUGAGAUCGAAUUUGGCUUUUAAUUAAUUACAAGUCUUUUCGUGUGGCGAAUGGCGAAGUCAUUUUUUUUUUAUUAAGAUAUUAUACUCUAUAUAUUUAUCAUUUAAAUGAUAUUGUUUUAAAGCUAUUUUAUUAUGUUGUGUUUCUUCGUCGAUACAUACACAUAUAUGUAUUUAUGGUAUCUCUGGAUUGAUUGUGAAAGAGAAAACUUUAAUAAUUAUAUAGUCAACUUUUAAAACUCGAUUUAAUAAAAUUUAUGUUUAAAUAUAAUUUAACCAAUGAGCUAUUAUUAGCAUUCUUGUUGGCAAAUAUGAGAAGCAUUGGGAACUUUAAUUCCGUAUGUCAUUUCCUGUAAAAAUAAAAGAUAAAAAAUUCCCUAUUCCAUUUUGAAAGAGUUUAAUAACCUUAUAUCACAAUUCAAAUUACUUAUUAUAAUUUAUAUAUUCAAAAUAUUUUUUUAUUCUGAUUUUUAAUUAUAAUAUGAUAUAUAUUUGAAAAUAUUCAUUUAUUAUGAAAUUUAGUAAUAUAAAAAUAUAUUUGUCAAAUGCAAUGACUUUUACCGAUAAUUUCCCUUAAUUUAUUUUAAUAACUUUACAGUUAAACUUAUAAACACUUUUUUUUAUUAAUUUCGUAAGAAUUUUUUAAAAAUAUUUUAUUAAAUUAUUUAGACCAAUUACAAUUUGAAUCUCCAUUAGAAAUAUAUAGAUUUAGUUUCUAACAACGUCUUUCAAGUAAAAUUCCUCCGAGAAAAAAAAGUAUCAUAUUUAUUACUCUCUCAUAUUCAACUUGAGUAUUUGAUGUGACAAAUUUUUUUGUUAGAACAUGUUGUUUAAUUUAUUGGAUUUACUUAUAAUUUGUAAUUAUUAUUGAUUUAAGAGAAUUUCAUAUCCAACUAAAUAGAUCAUUUCGUCUAGUAUGAAUGCAAUAGAUCUUGAUAUCACUAUGUUAACUCUCUAAGUAAUUGGAUUAGAUGAUAUGUGUAAUUUAUAAUAAAAUAUAAUAUGAUAGUAAUAAAUAUGUAUAAUUAAUUAGUCAUAUUAAUUAUAAACAUAAAAUUAAAUUAUUGUCUUAUAAAAAAACAAAUUUUUUGUUAUACCCGCAUAUACGGAUAGAAACUAAAUGAAUUGGAUCCUACUUAAGUUUGGCCUAACUCACUUUAUACUUUUAUAACUCAAACUUAUAUAUGUCAUUUGUCAUGAGUUUAUUUUUUAAGUUUGGAUCCAGCCUUUAUAUAAGUUUCAUCUAACCUGUUAAUUUAUUUAAAGGUUUAUUUCAUAUUAAAAAAUGUAAAAAAUAUUAUAUAAUAAUAAAAUUACUAUGCAUUAAAAUAUUAGAGUGUGAAAUAAUAACUUACAUGUUAUUCUUACGUUGUCCAAAAUUCGAUGCCUUGUAUUCAUAUCUAUCUUUUUUCUUUAACAAAGCUAAGAUGUUAAUUAAAAACAAUGACACAUUUUAAACUGCAAAAUUGGUUAAAACUUGCCUUAAAACCCAAAAGAAAAUACUCUGAUUCCUGUCCCUAUCUAUGCUUAUAGAAAUUACCAUAUUUUAACAUUAAAAUGAUUCUAAUAGUCAAACUACUAAAAUAAUUUAUAAUAGAAUUAAAAUAAUUAUGAUAUUGCAUAUCAUAUAAAUAAUAAUAUUUUAUUAAAAUAUAUUUGUUAUUAAAUAAACACACAUGCGAGACUUAAUAGCCAUUUUUUAAGAUUUGUGAUUUGAUCUAUUUUAACUAAAAAAAUUAUUUAAAAAAUUUGAGUCUUUUUUUCUCCUAAAUGAAUGAAAUCAAUCCAAACUUUAAACGGACUGAAACAUAGUUGUCUAACGGAGAGCCUAACUUACCUUCGCCCCUACCCACAUAUUUGAUUGUUACUAUUAGAACUUGUAAUUGAUCUGACACGUAAAAAUUAGUAGAAAUGUGUCCAAAUUAAUUUUUUUUUUUACUUACAGAAUCAAAAGAUAUUGAACUUACGUACUUGGAGAGAAAGUAUAACCAUGCAUUAACCAGUCAAGUUUCCUUUCACUAUCAUUUUUAGUGGAAAAUUAUGCCGCGACAUGUGCGAGGUUAUUAAGUAUAAGUAUCAUCUAUUAUAAAAACAAAAUAAUUAAAUUAAAUGGUCGAUUCUAUUGAUAAAUUAGUUAAAUUGUUUUAUAAGUAUAUAUAUAUAUAUAUAUAUAUUAACAUAUACACAAUUAUUUAUUAUUAUGAAUAUAUUAGCAAGCUAUAUCAAUUUUUUUCCUUUUCAUCUUAUUUUGUUCCAUCUACCUAUAGUAUCCACCCUAAAAUAGAAAAUAUUGUGUGAUCCUAACCCACUUCCUUUUAAUAGUAUGAGACUGUUUUGGACGAAACUUUUAGGAGUCGUUGUCAACGUCGAAUGAUACAGUUUCUUUUUAUUAAUUCUAUCUAUUUUUAUAAAUUUAAAACAACUCUCUCAUGUUAUUGAUUCUGUACACAGUUCUCUUUUGGAUCCUUGAUCUUUUCUUGUAUACAAGUUCUAGGUACAAGGUACCUAGUAAUCAAUUAAUAUAUUUCUUAUUCGCUGAUAAUAAAAAAAGAUUGUCUAAUUUCGUACAAUAUAAUGAUAUGUAUUCAUCUUUCAAUUUAAAAGUUUAUUAGUGUGAGGGCAGAGGGCUUAUGAAUUAUGAUGUAAUUAAAGUUAAAAGUAAAUAGCCUAUAUAUUAUAAUGUAAAGAAAAGCAUUCAAGAAGAAGAAACAAAGAGAGUAAAGAUAUGUAUUACAAAUUUGUUAAUUUAUGUAUAAUAAUAAUUAUUUUAAAACUUUAAUUAAAAUGAAUUUUUUUAUUAAUUGUUAUAUAUAUAUAUAUAUUAGAAAUUAAAAAUUAGUAAAUUCUAAAAUUAAUUUAGUCUCGAUUGACAAACACUAACUGUAAUGCAUGCACACCAUAAAGAAGCAAACAUGGCGGUGAGGGAAGCCAGCCUUUUGUCGACAAAGUUGAAGGCAGAAGAAUUUAAGGUAACCUAGAUAUAUGUGAUGAUCACAUCAAGGAAAGUAGUAAUAAUGCCUUCGAUCACUAGACAUACAUUAAUCAUUCUACAGCUAUAGUGGGACUCUUCGGANNNNNNNNNNNNNNNNNNNNNNNNNNNNNNNNNNNNNNNNNNNNNNNNNNNNNNNNNNNNNNNNNNNNNNNNNNNNNNNNNNNNNNNNNNNNNNNNNNNNUAUAUAUAUAUAUAUAUAUAUAUAUAUAUAUAUAUAUAUAUAUAUAUAUAUAUAUAUAUAUAUAUAUAUAUAUAUAUAGAUAUAUAUAUAUAUAUAAAAAUAUAUAUAUUUUUUGUAUUGUAUACAUAUAUAUAUAUAUAUAUAUAUAUAUAUAUAUAUAUAUAUAUAUAUAUAUAUAUAUAUAUAUAUAUAUAUAUAUAUAUAUAAUUAAUAAUAAAUAUUAACAAUAUGGAUGUAAAUAAAGAAUAUUCAGUUUGAUAAUUUUUAUGUUUUGAAGGUUAGUUUUAUAAUUUUUUGCUAUGAGUAUAUUUUACUUUCAGAAAGAAUAUUCAUAUGUGGUUGUAUUUAAAAUUGUAAAGUGUGAUUAACUAACCAUAAUCAAAUGUAACUAGGAUGACAAUGAGUAGGACUCCUGUAGGGUCUUAUAACACUCAUUCUCAUAUUUGUGUUUGAAACCAAUAAUCGUAGUCAAUCCUAUAUGUUUAAACCUUUGACUCGUACUUUAUUUGGGUAUAAAAUUAAUAAUAAAUCAAUAAAAAAAUUAUUAAAACAAUUUCUACAAUUAUAAUAAAAGUUUAGUCAUUUUUAAAUAAUUCAAACACAAUAUUAAAAACAUACAUACAUAAUAUUAAAAACAAACAUAAUAAUAAUUUGUUAAAAACAAACAUAAUAAUAAUUUGUCUAAACUCAAAUUAUAAAUAAAUAAAAUUAUAAAAAUAAUCAUUUAACAUAGGAAUAGUUAAAGAUUAUGUUUUAACCACUUGACAAAAAGAUUAAUUAAAGAUUUAUGAUUUUUCACUUUAUAAAAAUCGUUCAACAUAAUGAUUUUGAAUUUUUCACAUACUUUCUGAUAAUAAUAGUGUUAGAGAUUAAAAACUUAAAGUAUUAGUCAUAAAAAAAUAUAAUCAUUUUCACAAAAAAAUUAUAUAAAUAAUAUACAUUUUAUAACAUAUAUUAAUUAUACUUCUAUAUAUAUGUGUAUGGGCGUGGAGGGAGGAAUGGAUUGGAUACUAUAGUUGGGUGGGGUGGGUAAUAACUUACAACAUUUUCGUUAUGUAUUUCAUACAUCACAUGUAUAAUGGAAAUAAUUUUUUGUUGUAUAUUUAAUUUAUUCUUUUAUUCCCAUGUAUUGGUUAUUUUUUUAUUAUAAUUUAAUAAUAUUUUUAUCAGUUGAAUAACUUGCAAAUAACAUAUUGAUUAAUUCAGUUAAUUUUAAUGUUUAAUUUUUAGUUGCUUUUCAAUAGUUGAAUAACUUGAUAGUCUAGUUUCAAAAUAGCGUUUAAAGGAUUUUUUUUCUUAUUUUGUUCAUAAUAAUCAUGAUUAAAACUCUUUUUCAUAGAGUAUUGAUUUGUCUCCAAAGAGGUAAUGAUUAUAUUUUAUGAAACUGGCAAUGUGAAUAGAGUACUUAAUUUGAAUCAGGGAAAUUUCGUAGACUGACUGGUUGCCUUUGGGGUUUACUCUUUCUAAUAAAUUUUAUUUUGCUAAUAAAAAAAGUAUAAGUAUUUUAAUUCCCAUAAAAUACAAUGAUAAAGACUAAAAUUGAUAUCCAUAUAAAGUAUAGCUCGGAAUAGUUUUUUGUUUAUAUAUAUAUAUAUAUAUAUAUAUAUAUAUAUAUAUAUAUAUAUAUAUAUAUAUAUAUAUAUAUAUAUAUAUAUAUAUAUAUAUAUACACCAAUAUAGAUAGGGGUAUUACUAUAUAUACUUUACUCAUAUGUACACAUAUGUCAUCCAUGAUGAUAUAGGAAAAAAGUGCUAUACAGAGAGAGAGAGCGUGCAUGUGUGUGAAGAAUUGUGUAGGGAAAAAAAGAUGAGAGAGAGACAACCACCCCCCUUUUGCCCACAAUCUUUAAUAUAAAACUUUCUCCUGCGCAGAUGUAAUGAUUUCCGGUCUAUUGUGUGUUGUCUUUCAAAUAGAUGUAGCACUAGUAGGCGAAAAAUAUUCAAAAAACUAUAUACGGGCGUGUUAUAUAUAGGGCUCUCGUGCAAAAAAAAAAAAAAAAAUAUCCGUGUAUAGUUUGUUGGGANNNNNNNNNNNNNNNNNNNNNNNNNNNNNNNNNNNNNNNNNNNNNNNNNNNNNNNNNNNNNNNNNNNNNNNNNNNNNNNNNNNNNNNNNNNNNNNNNNNNNNNNNNNNNNNNNNNNNNNNNNNNNNNNNNNNNNNNNNNNNNNNNNNNNNNNNNNNNNNNNNNNNNNNNNNNNNNNNNNNNNNNNNNNNNNNNNNNNNNNNNNNNNNNNNNNNNNNNNNNNNNNNNNNNNNNNNNNNNNNNNNNNNNNNNNNNNNNNNNNNNNNNNNNNNNNNNNNNNNNNNNNNNNNNNNNNNNNNNNNNNNNNNNNNNNNNNNNNNNNNNNNNNNNNNNNNNNNNNNNNNNNNNNNNNNNNNNNNNNNNNNNNNNNNNNNNNNNNNNNNNNNNNNNNNNNNNNNNNNNNNNNNNNNNNNNNNNNNNNNNNNNNNNNNNNNNNNNNNNNNNNNNNNNNNNNNNNNNNNNNNNNNNNNNNNNNNNNNNNNNNNNNNNNNNNNNNNNNNNNNNNNNNNNNNNNNNNNNNNNNNNNNNNNNNNNNNNNNNNNNNNNNNNNNNNNNNNNNNNNNNNNNNNNNNNNNNNNNNNNNNNNNNNNNNNNNNNNNNNNNNNNNNNNNNNNNNNNNNNNNNNNNNNNNNNNNNNNNNNNNNNNNNNNNNNNNNNNNNNNNNNNNNNNNNNNNNNNUAUUAUGUGAGACUGUACAGAAUUUGGAGUAAAUAUUUUAGCAUCAGUUUAUAGAAUUUUUAUGCUAUAAUUUAAUUAUAAAUAAUUAUUUAUGAUAGUUUUUUAAUUUGAUGCAUGACUUUUUUUUCUCCUUUGAUUACCAAACUAACCUUAUAAUUUUUAUAUUAAAAGUCAUAUUGAUAAUUACUUUUGAUUUAUUAAUAAUUUUUAUAUUAAUAGUGCGUAUUAAUCUUUAAACUUGAAAUUUUUUACAUUAUCAUUUAACAACAAAUUUAAAUAUAUAUAAUAAGUUUAUUAGUUUUUAUAAUAAUUAUCUUAAAAAAUAUAUUUAUUAUAAUUUUUUAUCCUCUAAUUUAUUAUUUAGGUUCAAUUUAAUUAUUUAUAUUUUUAUUUAUUUUGGUUUUUUAAUUUUUUAAAUCGAUUCAAUUUAAUUAUGUCAUUUAAAUUAAAUUGAUGGUGUUAUCAAUUAGAAAGUAUCAUUUCUUAUCAUCAUUGACAUAUUUUAGACGAUAGGAUUAAAUUGAAUUGAUUUUAAAAGUUAAAUAACUAAAUUGAAUUGAAAAAAGUUAGAAAAUUAAAUUCGAUAUGAAAAAUAAAUCAGUGAAUAAACUAAUUUAACCUUUUUUUUUAUCCGCAAUAUAAUUUUUUUAACUAGAUAGAAAUUAAAAUCUUAAUAGCAUAAAGUUGUACAAAUAUUUUUAGAAUUUAAUUUAAAUAUACUGAUAGGGUAUUUUUUACACCGCCAUUCCAUAAUAAAUUAUUAUUUAUGGUAGGAUUGGUGAUUUUUAUAAUCAGAACCGCUAUUUAGCUUGAAAAAAAUAUGUCACGUAUUGCACGAAAUUCAAAUCUCAAAUAACAAUAUUUUUUAAAAUAAACAUUGAUUUUUUUACAAGAUAAAUAUUGAUUAAAAAUAGAAUUAUAGAAACAUAUAUAAAAUUAUUUUUAACAGAAAUCACCCUUCCUGUCAUUAUACGAAAAAUAUUUUCGUACCAAAUAAUUUUUUUGUUUUUUACAAUAAUUAUUUUAAAAAUCAUAACUAAAUUUAUUUGUAAUUAAUUAAGAGUGGAAAAAUCUUUAUACUAAUUAUAAUAGAUGAAAAUUAAACCCACAUUAUUAUUUUUGAAUUAAUAUGAUAUUAAUGCAAAAUAAUCAUUAACGAUUUUUAUUAUUAUUUUUUGUUGAUAAAUUUGACUUGAUAUUUAGUGAGUUUUAUUGUUUCAAUAAUUAUUUUUUUCAUCUAUCACACUUAAGUACGAGAUUUUACUUAAAAAAUUUGAAUUUAAUGUCACUCAACCCGACCAUAUAUUGAUAAACCUGUGUUACUAUGCCUAUCUUUACAAUUGAGGAAAAAAAUUCCUAUUGUUACCGAAUAUUUAUGUAAUGCUAAAUUAUUAUUAAGUUUAUAACUUAUAAUUUGAUUCCAUCAAAAAAUAACUUAUACCUUUGAUAUAUUCUUUGCAAGGUAAAUGCUUAUUCAUUAAUAUGCAAGGUAAAUAAUUAUUUAAUAGUACUUUUUUGUUUUUUCUUUUAUCAUUAGAAAUCAAAGACAAUAUUAAAAGAGUUACACUCAAGCACCUGACCUAUUCAGUUAACUGAACUAGAUUUUUUUGGUGUAUUUUUUUUUAUCGAUUAACUAAUUAAAACAAUUACAGAAUGUAAUUAUUUUUUAUGUAGGGAAAAAAAUAUGUUGCUGAAAUACAAUCAUUAUUAUUUGGUUUCCUAAUUAAGGAAAGAUUUGAGAGGAUGAUAAAAUCAUAAAUAUAUCAUUAUCUCCAUUAUAUAAAAUUUGUCUAAAUUAUAAAAUUUAUAUAUAAUUUUGAUAAACUAGUUUCGAGAGAAGUUGAAUGUGUCAUUGAAGGGGUUUAUUUCAAUUGAAAUUGACAAUUUCGAUAACUUCAUUAAGGCAUGUGGAAUUGAAAAGUGCCUAGAAGCAAGAUGUUUUUGAAAAUCGAAAUAUUGUUUGAAGUAGUUACAAAGAAGUUACAUGAAGACACCAAAUAACAUUAUAUCAAUGUGUUUAAGAUAUAUCUUUGUAUCCAUGUCAAAAUUAUGUAAUUCAACCAUUAAUAUUGUAAAUCUAUAAAUAAAAUUGUUGACUAUUAAUUUUGGGUGUUGAUAUAUAAUCAUUUAAUUCCUCAAAAUACCAACACACCUACCAUCGAAAUUGACAAAUAUUCAAGUGAUCAUUGUGUAUGUAUUAAAUUAUUUAUUUUUAUGAAUUCAUGUCUAUUUAUUUUAUUGUAUAUUUCUAAACCCUUGACUUUUUCCAAUUUUCAUUUCUUUUCAAAACUUUAGUUUUUUGGUCUCUAUUUCUUAUUAUUAUUGAAAUUAUUUAUAAACUAAUUACUGAAUAAAAACACUUUUAUCAAAAGUUAUUUUAUUUUCUUAUAAAUUAUAAUUUUAUUAUAAUUCAAAUGGACCUAUUUAUCGAGAUUAUAAUCGUGAUUUAUAUCAAAUAUUAAGUAAUUCUCUAUUAAGCUGAAAACUAUAAACUUGUUUGUUUAACCAAAAAGAACAUAAUGAAAAUGGAUUAUAUGUCUCACUUUUAAACAUUUAUUUGUUUAUAGAAUCAUUUGGUGAAAAUUCCUUUAUCUUGAAAAUAUUUCCCUUUUGAAAAAUAAAUACAAUUUUCACGAUUAGCACAUGUAUCAAUAAAUAUAUAUUUCAUUCUAGUAUUAAUAUAUUUCAUAAUCUUAAUUAACCACAUUGAUUAUGCCUUGAAACAUAUUAAAAAAACAAUUACUACUGAAUUUUAAUUAUUUGGAUUUAUUUUGUUAACAAUUAUUGUAUUUAGAUAUAUUAUAUAAAAAAUUAUUAAAUUUUGCAGAAAUUAUUUUAUAUAUUUACUUUAAUUAUACGGUAUGAAUAAUUUUUUCUUUAUAAGAAAUAUUUGUUUUACAAUUAUAAAAUUUAUAUAUUAAAUUUUAAUCUGUGCAAUUCACACAAUAAAAUACUAAUUAUAAUAAUUUUGACGUUAACUUUAUUAAAAAUAAAAAGAACCAUCGUUUUCCUCAACUGUAUUAUCAUACAUGAUGCACAAUACAUAACUUUUUUGUUGUGUGUGUGUGGUGUAAGCAAAUCCCUUAAUAAUAUCUUUAUUCUUAUGAUCUUUAAUUACACAACUCCUAAACUUUAUAAUUUUGCCGCACCCCUGCAUUGCGCGUAAAUUUGAAGUUGGAAAUGUCCAAAUUAAUUUCUUCCAUUAAUGGAAUUGUGUGGACAAGUAGAAAACAUACUUUUCCGUAAGAAAAUUUCUUAUUUGUCAAGAUCAAUACAAAAUAAAACACAAAAAGUAACGGACCUUUUUCCCUUAAAAUCGUAGAAAAUGAACAUAUCCAUUGCACGAUCCAAUAUAUGGAAUGAUGACAUAGAAAGUAAGGUUUUGCUGCCAUAAACUAGAAACACAGUCUGAUCCAUAAACAUGCAUAUUAAUUAAUUCUCCUAGCUUACACCGAUGCGCGCAACUAAUUGGAAGAAAAAACGGCUUGUUCAUAAUAUAAAAAAGUCCAUUUAUAAGAUAGCGGAUCUGCGUUUGCAUGAAUAUAUUGUUGUAUCUUCAUCAAUUUAAGACAGUGAUUUUUAUCCGAAAAAAUUUGUUGAAAACUUCAAAUUAAUUGAUGUCCUAGCUAGCUUUAUAUGUGAUAUAUCUCUAUCUAUAUAUUAUCGAGAAACUCUCGUGCGCCCAUGCAAAACCGGCCUUUGGUGGGGGCACACGCAUACACACACAGCCUUUUGUGACUUUGACUCAUGGCGGUACCAAAAGGUCAAAAUUAAAUACAAGUUUGCCUCAUAUUGUAACUGUAUAGCUACUAAGUGGAGUGGAGGCAAAAUAGAUGUUGAGUACUUGAAGAAGAGGGCUAUGGUUGUAUUUAUAAAUGUGGAAUAGUGGCAUGUUUAUUUAAUUUAAUAGUUAAGUGGUGUCAUUCUUUGGAGUUUUCUCAGAAUGAUUUGAGGAAGAGUUUCACAUCAUUAAAUAAUUUAGUGAUUUCAAAGAUUCAAUAUUCAACGUGUCUCUUAGGCAGGUGAGUUUGAAGCUCUAGGUGAUGUGAUUAUUGUGGUUGGACAAACAAGUUAUUCUUGGGCAAGGUUGUCCAUGUGCAAUUCAAUUCCGUUCUUGAAAAAAAUAGAAUCAGCAACAAAGGAUCGUCGAUCGCCUACAUCACUUUGUUGUUUCUACACAAAAUCUUUCAAGAUUGUGACACUAGUUAAUGCGAUGAACUUUGCUUGGGAGCAGUAAGGUCCGAUUUCAAUCUUGUAGUGUGAUCUUGUCUCGUGUUCUUGGUUAUUAUGUACAUUACUGCUACGAGAUCUGAGAGAAGAUUCACACUUAUUAUUUUCAUCAUCACAUUUAUAUAAUAUUAAUUGUCAUAAAAUAAUAUAUGAAAAUGGAAUCCAACUUAUUUUUUGAAUAUUCAAUCAAAUCUUAAACUAGAAAUAGAUAUAUCAUAUAUGCACGUAAUUGAAGAUAGCUAGUGUUCUCUUCUCUUGUCGAAUGCAAAACAAAACAUAUGAUCACGUUAACUUCUAGAGUCUAAACACAAUAUACAAAAUAUCUUUGUCUUAUUUUAUUGCAUUUUAUUAAUUUCAUUCUAUUUGCGUGCAAACGUCAGCUAAUGACAUUGGUUAGGGUCGGGUGUUUGUGUCAUGUUUAAGAUUUGAAGGACAAGCAGUGCUCCACUCAAAAUUAUUUCGUUGGUCAGAAAAUUGUAUUAUUUUUUUGUCCCACAUAAAAGCUAGUCACCAAGGCAGCAAAUAAUUUUUCUAAAAACCAUCAAUUAAGACUUAAGAGUGCAUAUGUAGCCUAAUCCUCGAUCUGAAAGCAGAUCAUGAUACGCCUAUACUUCAUUAAUUCUUCAACCACUACUCAAAAAGCAAGUAUCAUUAUUUGCAAAGAAAAAAAAAAUAUCGGGGUUAAUUGCUCUUUUGACAAAAAAUUCUAAGGGGGCCUUUAUGUUUUCUACUUUGGACGGGAACGACACCUUAUUCAGCAGUGAUUUUCAACUAAGUUCUUCAAAACACACGUAUGACCACCAACACCAAAAAAAUAUCAAAAUAGGGGGAAAAAGUGAACGAUUACCCACCUUUAUAAUUAUAAACAUUUUGACUUGUGUGGGUGUAAGUAGAUAUAUAAAAUAAAUAAAACAGAAAGUUGGAAACGUUUUGGCAAGUAGAGACAUUUUUCUAUCAACAAUGGCUUUUCCAACUUAAACAGGAUGGCCACAUGGAAAAUGUACAAAUAAAAAUGUAGCAAUGAUUGAUAAUGAACACGAAAAAAGGAAGUAAUUAAAUAUGGAUUAAAAGCAGAAAUUAAAAGUUGAUAUGAUUAAUUAGGGGUGUAUUUCUUUUAUCUGAAGUGAUAAGGGGACAUUAUUUUUUUAAUUUUUUUUGGCUUAAAUACGUAAUUAUUAUUAAACUCAAUAGACAUACCCUUACCUUGUGUUUGAAUCAAGAAUUUUAAAAUUUCAAGAAAUUUAAAAUGUUUAGAAUUUGAAUUGUUUUGAUUUUAAUUUUCUUCAUUUUUCAAAUGCUUUAUUUGGAUAAAUUAAUUCAAAUUUCUUUAAUUUUUAAAUCCUUUGUUUGGAUAGGGCAAUUCAAUUUUCUCCAUAUGCAAAAUUUCAAUUUUAUAUUUUAAAUAGAUAACAUUUUAAUAUUAAACUUUAUAGAAAAUGAACACAAUCUAAUUUUAAAAUAUUAAUUAAAAUAUAUUUUCAAUUUUUAAUAAUUUAUAAAUAUAAAAUAUUAAUAAUUUUAACUAGGGUUGUUUUGUCUGACCAUAACUAGUGAUGCUUUUAAACUCAUAUCAAUUAAGGCUAUUUUUCAAUCAACAUCAAAUAGGAUUUUUUUUGUCAAAGUAUACCAAAAAUAUUUGUUAGCUGACAUCAGUCAGGGCUAUUUUUUGGCUAACGUUGGUUGAGUCUAUUUUUCAGCCGACGUUGGCUAGAUUUUUUUUACCAACGUCGGCUAGGGUUUGUUUGGCCAAUAUCGGCUAGGAUCUUUUUGAACGACAUUGACCAAGGCUAUUUUUAGCCAACGUCGGCCUAAAAAAUCCUAGCAGGUGUUGACAAAAAAAUCUACCAAAUAUCGACUAAAAAAUAGCUUGAUUGAUGCCGACUAAUAGAACCUACCCAAUGUCGACCCAAAAAUAUCAUUGGUCAACGUUGGCUGAAAAAUUCAUAGUUGAAGUUGGCUAAAAAAUAGCCCUGACAAAUAUUGGAUAAAAAACCCUACCCAACAUCGGCUAUAAAAUAACCUUGGCUGAUGUUGGCUAAAAAAUAGUUCUGACCGAUGUUGAUGGAAAAAACUCUAAUGGAUGUCGACUGUAAGGACCUAGUCGAUUGCAACUAAAAAUAGUCAUGUCCGAUGUCGGUCAAAAAUAUCUAGCUGGUGUUAGCAGAAAAAACCCUAGCCAACAUCAACCAAAAAAACUAGCUAAUGUGAUUAAGAAAUAGCUCUGACUUAUGUCAGCCAGAAAACCCUAGUCGAUGUCAAUAAAAAAAUCCUAACCGACGUCGGUUAAGAAAAUCUAGUUGACAUCAGUCAAAACACCCUAGCUAACAUCGGCUAAAAAAUAACCUUAGCCGAUAUUGACUAAAAAAUAGCUUUGGCUAAUGUUGGCUGGAAAAAUCUAGCUGAUGUCGGUUGAAAAACCCUAACAUGUGUUUACUCAAAAGUUAGUUAUGACUGAUGUGAGUAGAAAAAAUCUAGCCAAUGUUGGUCAAAAAAAUCAUUGGUCAACAUCAACUGAAAAAACCUAGAUGACAACGGCAAAAAAAAUCUUUGGUCGACAUUAGCAAAAAUUUCCUAUGACAGAAAAUAACCCUAACCAACAUCAUCUAAAAAAAAUCUUAGCCAAUAUCAACAAAAAAUAGCUUUGGUUGACAUCAUACAAAAAAAAUUUGACAGAAAAAACUUCGGCCAAUGUAAGUGAAAAACAACUUAUGUUGAUAUCGACCGUAAAAAUUUUAGUUAUCCGUAGUUGUGAGUGUUGAGCAAGAAAGAGUCGUGAACAAGAACGUGAGUUAGAAUGAACAUCUCCAAAAAAAGAAUUUCAAAUUCUAUAUUUUUUGAGAGAAUUUAAAAUUCUACUGUUUUAGUCAAUCAAAAUGAUUCAUAAAAAUACCAAAAAUUAAAUCUUCUUUCAAAUAUUCUAUCCAAACAAGCUAUUUUAUCACGAAUCAUCUUAAAUUCCUUAAAAAAAUAAUUCCCCUUUGUUAUUUUUUUAUACUUAUAUCAUUUGUUAUUAAGUAAUUGUUUAUUAAUUUUAUACUUUUAUAUAUAUACUCAAUAGACAUGCCCUUAAAGUUUAAAAUAAUUUUUGAUUAAUUUACCGUGUAAAAACUUUUGUAUUGACUACUUACCGGGCACUAUCAACUACUAAUAAAUUAACAAAAAGAAAGUUAGAAAAGCAUGGCACCGAGGGAAAAAAACGCCUAUUGUACGUAUCCAUUAAUUCAACCUCUGAGAGUGGAGAUUGACAACAAUUUGCACCAAGCUUGACCCCAAAAAUAAUUCCUUUCUACGAGAUUAUGAGUGAUCCGUACCAGAAAGCCAUGCGUAAUUUUCUUAUUCUCAAUGGCCACUUUUGACCGUGUUACGGUUUAAUGCACCCCGGCCAGCUCCGUUUACUUAUGCAAACAAACAAUAAUACAGUUCAAUGAAACGCGUUUAUUUCAAUAUUCAUUCACUUAAAACUCAAGCUUGUACUCAAUGAGGUUGUGGAUUUAUCUAAAAAAAAUUAAAAGGAGCUUCUCAUUUUUAAACUAGCUAGAUAUUUCGAAAAAGCUAUUGUGACUCAGGUAAUUGUGGUUUCUUUGAAUUAUAUGUUGGGUACGUAGUUUGGGCUUUUGUCAAAAGUAGGUUAUGAAAUCUCGGUCUUCUCAGUAAGAUCCUUUUAUUCUUUCUUACCCAAGUUCUCGUUAAGAUUCAAAUUACUUCUUUGAUAAUACUAUUGGGGAUCUUUCUGAAGUCUUGGAAAUGUAUAACACCUCUUACGGUAUUUGUUAGUGACUGUUGUUGGAUAAAUUACCAAAUUAACUGGAUGUGUAAAAUAUCUGAACUGAAUCAAACUGUUUCAAAAUCAAAAUGAGCAUAAUCAGAUAAACCAACCGUUUUGAGAAAAAUUGAACCAUAAAGCAGUGUAAAAAGGAAAUUUAGACCGAACCAAAAAGAAAUCCGAUUCAUUUUGAGAAAAAAAAAAAAAACCAAACUGAUUACAAACUAUUUUAUGAAAAUGGUUUGAUUUCAACUGAACCAUAAAACGGUUCAGUUCGGUAUUUUUGAGAAAUUCAAAACAUACAUAGGCGUGAAAAAGAAAAUAAAAAAACUGAAUCAAACCGGAUCAAAUAAAAAAAAUCUGAUAUGAAAUAACAUAAUUAAAUUUGAUCAGAACCGUUCUUUUGAGUUUUUUACAAUUGAUGGAUUCAAUCAUAUUCCAUUCCCGAGUCUGGUUCAGAGCUAAGGUUCAUAAUUCAAGUGUCUUGUCAUUGGACUGGUGCAAUAACCCUCUGAUAGUUCUGCGGAUUGGAUUAAAAUUAUUUUGAGAUGAAAAGUUAAUAUUUGUAGUGACUGACUGACUGUUAUGUUGUCUUGUGCAAACUGCAAAGUGCUCUGUUAUUCUAUACAUUCUGUUUGCUUUUAGCAUUUUAUUACUAUUUUUAUAAGGGUGAAACAUUAUUAUAUUUAACUUAGCUAGGUUCUUUUUUUUAUGUUUAAACUAAUAUAUUCAUGAAGCCCAUACAAAACCCACGUGACCCAAGCGGUGAUCAUGCACAUGCAGUUGUAAUUUAGUUAGCUUUUAAUUUGUUGCAGUUGGCAUGUUAGAAUUAGUUGCACCUCUUGUACCUAGCCAUCGUCUUAUCCAUCUGAUCCGCAAUGUAUAUACAUUCAAAGUAGUAACAGCACUUGUGUAUUUUAAUUGAAGUCAGAGUAAUACUAACCUUCAUUCUCAGCCAUAUCUCUUAUUUGUGAAAAAACUAGAUCACGUGGAGUAAAUUAACUAGCUAGAUACAUACGCUCAAAUUACAUAAUUUGGAUUAUCUCAUGAAGGUUUAUAAAUAUAGUUCAAGUCUCUUGAUAUAUGUUUUAAAAAACUUUAACCGCAACCCAAGCAUCCUAAUUAUACAAGCAGAGACAUAUAUUCUCAUAUAUUUAGUAACAAUAAUUCACUCGAAUUACAAGUCGUAAGAUAUGGCAUAUAUAUAACACAUACAAUAUUGUAGAAUGACAUGGGUAAUUUUUGGGAUCUUCUGCAUCAAAUGAAAUUGAGCUAGCAUACACGUAGCUACGUACAUACGUGAACUUAUUUGUGGUACAGAACAUAUUAGCUAGAAAAAGGAAACAAAUUUAACAAUAGCAAACCAUAACUGUAAAAAUGAAACACUAAUGAUUACUAUGAUCAUCACAAAUCUGGAAUUAUUGAACGUACGUAAUUAACUCCUUAGUUGAUUGAUUUUUCAAGGCUUUUUGGCUUCAACAUGCUUGAAACCACCAAUGACACCACCAACACCACCUAUAGCACCUACACCACCACCAAUGCCUUUGUAAAUGCCUCCUCCAAUUCCAAUUCCUUUGUAAAUGCCUCCUCCAAUUCCUAUUCCUUUGUAAAUGCCUCCACCAAUUCCACCACCUAGACCACUUCCUCCUCCAUAACCACCACCAAGACCACUACCACCUCCAAGUCCUCCAACUCCACCACCUCCUGCUCCUCCUCCAUAUCCACCACCUAAACCACUAUCACCACCAGCUCCUCCUCCAUAGCCACCUCCUAAACCACCACCACCUCCACCAGCACCGCCAAUGCCGCCAAUGCCACCAACACCACCAAUGGACCCUCCAUCUAAGCACGAUUCUGGCUUCUUCACCUCUUCCUUUGAUUUUUUCUCCAAGUUCCUUGCAUCAACAUAUUGGGACAUUCCCAGCACCAAACAUACUCCCAAAACAACUACUGAAAUGAACUUUCUCUCCAUCACUGAUCUUAUUCUAAUCUUUAAGACUUUAACUACUACUGUGUGUAUAUAUGUGGCUAUAGUAAUUGUAUACACACCUCACUAGGACUUUCUCCCUCUGUUCUUUUGCACCUUAUAUGCAUGCAUUUAUAUAGUUCUCGCUUGCAUGCGAAUAAAUGAUAAUCUUUAUUUCAAAAUGCAAAAGACGAAAAGUAUUUAAUGUGCAGUUGGAGGGUUAGGAGAGAGAUGUUUAUUGCAACCUCACAAGUUACCUUCCCUCACAGUAAUAGUCCAGCUCUACUACAUGCCAGUAACGUGACGUUUCCAUUCGCAUUCAUGAUUGGCCAUUGCAUGCCCACACUUGUAUUUUGUCUCCAUCGAGAAUUUGUUUUUGUAACUUAUUCUAUACUCUAUCACACUUUUUUUUUGUUAAUUAAAAUUACGAAAUCAUAUUUAAAUUUUAGGCAAAUUAUCCUUGGAGAUUUCAUGAGUGUCUACACCUUGAAAAAUAGCAAGUAUAUAGAGGUAUCAAAAUGAGUUGUUUUACUCAACAGGUCAAGGUGUAAAAAGCAGGUCGAACAGAGAUCAAGCUAAAUUCUUUAUGGACUACAUAUUCAAUGGCUCGAUGGACUGAGCCAAAUUGCCACACUUUAUUUUUUUGUCCAAUUAGAUUAGUAAUUUUUGUGCUUAUACUUCAUGCAUGUGCCCGGCUUUAUCUGUCUACCUCAUUCGUUCGAGCCAAAUUGGUCUGGUUCUUUUAGGCCUAACUUGUUAGUGCUUGAUCUAGAACCUAGGUUAAGGAAACAAUUUAUUUAAAAAUAAAAAAUUAGUGAUUAUUAUCAUGAAAGGAAGAAGAUAUUAAGAGCGUAGAUUCAAAUAUAUGAAAUUAAGAGGAAACAAGUUAUACACAUUUAAGAUAUUUAUAUGUAAAUUUUGAUUGAACAAAUUUUUCCAACUCUAAUAAGAAGAGAUGGGAUAAAAAUGAUUGACAUGAUAAUUAGUGAUGGUCCAACUAUCUUUAUCUUAACUAGGAUUUAUUAAAUAAAACGUGAGAAUCUUGUGAUUUAAUGAUUUCAUAUAGGUUGUUUUGGUCUAGAUAUUAUUGGCAUUUUUCACAUGUAACAAUUAUGAUUGAGCUGAAUAUCAUUGUGGGUUAUAAUUUUUUAUUUGAAUAUUCAACAAAGUUACAUAUUUAAAACUCUAUCCCCUAAUGUUGGAACACUCAGAUCAGUGAUAAUUUCAAACAAAUUCUAAGAAAUAUCAAAGAAUUUACUUAAAAACGAAACAUGAAAGAGGGAACAAAGUUCUUGUUCGUUAUGCAGUCAUAAAUUCCAUAGUAAAGUACCUCUGGCAGUCUGGCAAGCGGUCCAUCACUUGAUUUGCAUGAGAUACACCAGAAUUCAGAAAGAGUGAGCAUAUUGGCAUAAUAUUGGGUAAUGCUAUUAUAGAAUAUUGGAAUUAUUUUGUUGGGGUGGUGUCACACUGGCACCCAUUUAUUGGUGGUAGAUGGUGAUGG
rnacentral:lncRNA from 1 species